rnacentral:lncRNA from 1 species
AACCAAAUGGUAUUAGGAUUUGAAUUAUUAUAAUUGAAAAACAUUCUUUUAAUUUUACACAUAUCAUGAAGAAAAUGUGAUUAAACGUAAAAAAAAGGGCUCAAAUAGCUCCAAACUUACUAAUAAUAAUUCUUGAAAGAAAAAACAAAUAGACAAUUCCAUAAUUGAAUUAUAAGUUUGGACAUUCCGUUCUCUCUAAAUUCUAUCUCAUGCAGUAUAUCACUGCAUAUAAAUGAUUGAACUAGAUUUAUUGGUAAACUUUGGAGCAAGUGCAUGCCAUGUAAAUAAUUGACAAUAAUUGAAGCUAUGCAAUCACUAAUUGUUUUAUUUUUUCCCCCUCCUUUCUCCUAGCUACAAGAUAGAUAAGAAGAGCCUUUAGAAGAAGGUGAUAAAAAAGAUUUAGUUGGUAAAGACAAGUUACAAAGAGCAAAAGAUGGGAUCUUGCACAUAUGAUUAGAUUACAAAUCCCACCCCCACCAUAUCUUAUAAUCUUUUAUCUUAUAAUCAUAAGUCACCGCUCCCCUAUAUUCAUCCUACAAACAAGGAUAAUGAUAUGCUGCUAAUAAUACACAUGUCAUUCCACAUAUGGACAUUACAUCUUGAAUAAGUUGGUUAUUAACUUAAAACAAUUUGAGGUUUUGACCUCAAUUAUGAGAAGCUUAAUUGGAGUAUCCAUAGGUACUCAUGCCAAAUCCGAAUCCGAUUUGAAUGAGAAAGACUUGGUGAUCUUUCGAGUUUUUCAUCCAAGUAAUUAUGCCAAAGGGUAAUCACAAUAUUUGAUUUGAUAACGCGCACUUCGGGUUAGUUUAGAUAGAAAGAUGGUCUAAUCAAUCAAAGUGGACUUGUUUUUGAUCACGAUCAAAUUAAAGAGGCAUGCGCAUACGCAUGCUUUUUGCAAACUCUUUUGCAAAAUAGCACUAUUCGUGAUUUAUGGUGAGUUCAUUAGAUCACUUUGAAUGAGUUUGUUAGGAUAUUUUGUUCUCUUUAAGUUGAUUUGUAGGGAAAAUGAUGUAAUUCAUCAAUCCUUUUCUUGCUUUCCGUCCUUAUAGUUUUGUAAAAGAGCAAAAUUAAUUAUGUUGAGUUCUCAUCACUUUAUAUGAGUUGGUUAGAGAAUUUCCGCUCUUUGAAUUGACUUGUUGGGAAAAUGAUGUAAAUCAAUAUUUUUUUAGUUUUUCUGACUUUCUUUUGUUGUAAUAAUGAGGUUAAGAAUAACCGAAAGAAAACAGGAAUAUGUGUACAAAUCGAAGUUUAUAAUUAAACACAUAAAAUCAUAUUUCGUACUUUCUAUAUCAGAAUUUGAAUGUAGUUUUGCUCAUAUUCCAUUGUCAAAGAAUUAAUGCAAUGCUAACCCUGACAUCUAUUAAAGCGACUACUAAACCAUAUGUCAAGUUCAUGCAUAUUGCCACGCAUUCAUAAUGACAACAAAUUAUAAAAUCUUCCAAUGUGUAACGAAUUGACUUAUUAAGAACUAAAACUAUUACCCCAUGUUCUCUUAUUUGUUUCUUUUCCCUUGAUAUUUUUGCUAUCUUUUCGUGGGUUUAGGUACUAUGUCCUCUCUGUCGUAAAAAUUUAAUAUUAUUAUAAUAAAUGAAACUGGGCAUAGAGAUGAGCCUUCCAGCUAGGCUGAGUUUCAAACCCGUUCAAAAAAAAAACAAAGUCCUAGAGUAAAUUUGCAUAAAACCCCAGUUGCCAUGAUUAGAAGCUUGAAAUGGGAGCUUUAUAAUUUUUUUGACAAAUUCUAAUUUCAAAAAGAUAUAUUGCGUCACAUGAUCUAUGAAUAACGUGUUUUCGUCCACGCAAUCAACGGUGUGACGGGUCUGGACUGAGAGAGAGCCUCCAAGGCGCCAGCUGCAUCACCAUCCAUGUCAAAUACUUUUCCCGCCACGUGUCGGCCAAUCAUUGACUUCCUCUUAAACUUUGUCCGCAUACGGAAGCCAUUUCGUUACAUCAACUCAAGCUUUUGGCAGCUUCAGCAUCGCUCAAAAUUACCAUAUCACCCUUCAUGACACUUCUUUUUGCUAAUCAGGUCCCGAAUUUCCUUAUUAUGUCACCGAAAAUGAACAUCAGGAAAAGGAGAGAUUAACUAAAAGUUAGAUAACUACAUGGUGUGGUGAAUUUAGUCGAGCAGCGUAGAAUGAAACUCUCAGAUCUAGAGUUCGACUUCCAUACCUCACAAGUUUGAGACCAACGUACAGUCUUUAUGGGUUUUUAGUUUCGUGCGUAUGGUAGAACGAGAUAUUAAUCUGAUUUUGUUGUGAUCUAAUUAUCGACAUUUGUGGCAAAUACAUAAAGAUGCAUGCAUCGUCCUAUGAAGCAAACAAAGAGUAAUUAAUCAUUAAUACUUUAUGGGUUUUUAGUUUUGUGCGUCUGGUACAACGAGAUAUUAAUAUGGUUUUGUUGUGAUCUAAUUAUCGACAUUUGUGGCAAAUACAUAAAGAUGCAUGCAUCGUCCUAUGAAGCAAACAAAGAGUAACUAACUAAUCAUUAAUACUUUAUGGGUUUUUAGUUUCGUGCGUCUGGUACAACGAGAUAUUGAUUUGGUUUUGUUGUGAUCUAAUUAUCGAUAUUUGUGACAAAUAUAUAAAGAUGCAUGCAUCGUCUUAUGAAGCAAAUAAAGAGUAAUUAAUCAUUAAUAAAUCUAAAUUUGAUCCAUCUUAGGGUUAAUACUGUUGAUGAAUUAUUCGAAAAGGAUGGACAAAGACGCAUCGAUCUACCACUCUAGGUCUUUAGCUACUCUACCCAAACAACAUGCAAUGUUUGGAUUUUGUUUGUCUUGGUUCAAAUCAGAUAGUCAUUGAUUUGAAGUUUGUCUGAUAAGAGUGUUAGAAACAACAAUAUCACACCUAACUAGCUAGGGCUUAAUACAGAUAAUGAAGAGCUAAGAGCCUAAGACAUGGUUUUUCACCAGGAAAAGAACGUAGUAAUGGAAACCCUAAGCCUAACGAAGCCGACAAGGGCAGUGUUGGAAAACCACAUCGAUCGAAUCGAUCUCAUGCAUCACUGCAUAUAACAAAGCAAACUGGGCAAUGGCAGGUGAGGUUUUGUCUUCAACUUCGAGUAUGAUCGAUCGAAGAGAUAACAACCUCUGGCAGUAAAGAAUCACAGAAUCACAGGCAAGUAGAGAGGUCUCAGGUCCGUACUACACAUACUCUUAUCGAACCCUCGUGAUUCAAGGGUCAGUUUUUUCCCCACUUUAUCGAUCACUUACAAACCCUAGAGUACUGUUGCUGCUGCUAUCUGUGAUGUCCAUCUCAAUACCUUUUAAUUUCUUUCUACCUUCCCGAGAGACUUUUCUCUCUUUUAAUUUCCUUCGAUCGAUUCUCAUCGCCAAUGAGAUGAACUAGCUUGUAUAUAAGUUUAUUGAUUUCCAUGCAUAACAACAACAAGUAACAAUUGGAAGCACAAAGCGCCACAGUUCCAUCAAGAAAAAUGUCAUAUAUAUGUUUUGUCUCUAUAAAACCAUCUUUGUCCGUCGAUGUCUCUUCCCAACAACCAUGUCUUCUAAUUUGUAAGCCUCACAAACCCUUGAUUGCCACCCUUUGAUUAGUUCACUGCUUAGUUAAUUAUCUCCUCUCUAGACAAUAUAAUUCUACUUUUCUUGGUUUGGAUAUUCAAAAGAGAGGGAGUGAGAUCGAGGCACAUGUUGUUGCAUGGCACAAAGAAAUGUUAGUUUUCACCGAGUACAGAUUAGGAAUAUGUUGGAGGAAUGUUUACUGUCAAUCAUGUGACACAAACCCUAGAAUAUUAGCUUAGACUAUUCCUUUCAAUUCAUAUAAUUGGAUCACUUUACUAGUUAAUCCUUCUUGUGAUGAUCGAUCAAGUGAAAAUCAUCCGUAGAAUUUGUUAUGAAGAAAACCAGAAGUGAAAGUAAUAAGUAAAAGGGGAAUCACAAAUAUAAGUUUAUCCAUCACCAGCUUUUGCAGGAUUCUCACAAGAAUAGAGACCAUUGCUACUCAUAAUUACCACAGCAAGGGCAAGUCAUUCCAAAGAUAUGGAAAUAUCAUCACCACGCUUUUGAAAUUCUUCAAAGGUAAUAUUCAUGAACACAUCUAGCUAGAUAUUAUAUUUAAGUUAGCUUCAAGGCUCCCUCACAUACCCGUAAAAUAUUAAGGAAAAUGUUACAAUAAUAGCCUAGUUACAUAAUGUUCAGCUUACAAUUCAAAUUUGGGAAUGGUGUCCAAAAUUGUGAACACAAAUGUGAAAUAAUAAUGGCAUGCAAUCCCAAAUUGGCCUUUCGGAAAAUGGCCUCCUCAUCUUAGAAAAAGGGUAACUUAAUCUCAACAGCUAUCUAAGCAAACAAUAUUUAAUGAAGACCAAAAGUCAUUGGCCUUUCUAAGUGUCUAAGAGUGACUUGAAAUUGAAAGAAAUGUUAAAGCAUAUAUAUGUGGAAAAUUGGAAAUCCAGAAUGCCAUCGGAUCAUUAUUGAUCAGUCCCAAUUAAUUUAAGCAAAGACAGAGGGGUAGGGGAGGUGAAAUAAGCCACUGUGAUCAUCAGUGUUGGCAUUGAUUCAGGUCUGGCUAUAUUAUAACAGAACAGUAGGAGGAGGAGGAUGAGGAUGAAGAUGAAGACGAAGACGAAGAUGAAGACGAGGAAGGAGGAGCUAGAAUUAUAUAUAUGCAUAUACAUAUAGACAGUGACAGUUGCUUGGUACCCUCUCCUAUUCAUGCCAGUCCCGUUACGCGUAAGCACAAGCUGGCAUUGCAGAACAUGUCCUGCUCUGAUCCAAGUUUACAUGAAAAUGAAGUACUGUUAUAUACUGUGUGGUUACUUCGAGUGCAGGCCACCCUUGGCCUUAGCCUGACUAAUGCUACAAAUGAAUGAUAUGAAUUCCUUCCUCUCCCUCCAAGUGUGAUCUGUGAUCAUCAUCAUUCAUGCCCCUCCUUGCCCUACCAUGGAAGCAUAUAUACAUGAGUAUUGAAGCAGAUGAGGCCUAGCUAGCUUUGGCAGUUAAAUACUUAUGCUCCCUCCCUCCCUUCAUCUAUUUGAAUUUCAUAUCUACUCAUAUGAUGGGCCAAGUGACGAUGAGUCGCAAUCCUCAUUCACUAUUGCACUCAAACAUAUCACCUAGCCAGGACUAACAUAGACAGGUAGGUAAAUGCAUAUACGUACACAGUAUUUCACUUUUCCAAUGCCGAUUACUAAAGUUUAUCAACUCUGUCAAAAAAAUGUACAAAUGGGGUGAGUUUUUUUUUUGCGGGGUACUAGACAUAAAUAAAAAUUGAAGAGGGCAAUGAUAGAUUAUAUACAAUAUAGCAAGCAAUAUAUAAAACAGAAAAAGAAAGUCCGGAUGGAGCCAUUUCACCAAGAGAAAGCAAGACAGAGAAGUGAUUGCUAGGAGAGCCCAUUCAUGGAUAAUAGCAAUGGAAACAGACUUUUCGAAAAGAUAUGACUCAUGAGAGGAAGAGGGCUUUAUGCAGUUUGCAGCAGCGGCAGCUUCUACUUAGCUUUGGAACCGAUAUCACAUUCCUUGUGGACCUGCUUGUGCUACUAGUGCUGCUUCUGAUAGCCCACAUUGCCUAAAGCCAGACACAUUGAUAUCACAUAUCUUAUGAAGCCAAACAAUCCGACCACCUACCGACAACGAAAGCCACCUUCAUUUCAAAAUCGACGAUUUACCAACUCCAAAGGGCCACCCCCGCUUCUUUACUUAGUCGUUUAGGAAUAUAUGUGUUAUCUACUGAGCUUCAAUAUCUUUGAGGACCUUGUGGAACUUGAUAAUAGAUAGGGAUAUAGAGCCCCCCUGAAGUUUUGGACAGUGUCGAGGUCAUGAUGGACAAGAGAGACAUGGUGGCAAAGUUAGGCUAAGACUAACAGCUUUCACAAUUCACAUGCAUGCCCCCCUUCCACUGUUCUAUAGCGAGUCCCGGUUGGAAUGAUGUAGAUGUCCCAGUAUUACCCAGUGGAAUCCCCAUAUAAGAGGGUCAGUUCUGUUUCGAGUAGUUGCUUGGAAGAGACAUGGAAAAGGACUAGUCCUCCUGCAAUUGGGAAAACACACUAGGGUGAGACCGGGAAGCCACUAUUGUCGUUUCAAUGAAGCACAAGCACGCGUACUAUUCACUAUGCUUGCUUGCGCCAAGUGGCUUUUUCUUUGGGUCCUUGCCUCUGUGCCUUUUGUGCCUUUGUGCUCGGUGCUCCCCAAAACCAAGAGGAUCGGAUCAUUAGGUUUGGUGACAAGGCAGUUCACUAACAAAGUAUUGAUAGAAGUCUCAAUUUCAACUAAAAAGGUGAAAAUGAAGUGAGUCUUCAGUAAAUUAUUGUGACACCGUAAGUACAAUGUUUAAUGCAAUGUGAAGAGUUUAAAUUUUACAUUGAUAUUUCUACCCUUUACCAGAAGAAUUUCUCAAGAAAACCAGAGAACAUGUAUGUAUCUCUUUGGCGUUUGGCCAUGUGGACUUCACAUGUUAUGGUUCUCAUGAUUAUGUACUGUCUGAGACAGUUAACUGAUGUUUUCUUGUUCCUGGUUUACAAAUAGCACAAACACAAAAACACAUCACUGCAGCACUGCUACACAAACAAACCAAAACACAAAACCUCUUUCGAGUCCUAAGUCCUAACUAACUUGUGACAUGAGGACAGACCUGAAAGUACUACUACCACCAUAGCAAAUGCACUUGUUAUUGCGACAUCAAAAGUUCAAAACAGUGUACUAGGAAAAUCAACAUCAAUCAUCAACUAAGCUCAGACAAUCAUGUUCCUCAUCUCAGUCGGGUCAUUAAGCAAUCAACCUUCGCAGACACAGUCUCCGUCUUAUCAUACUCCGCACCGACACUAAUCAUCUGCCAUAUUGCCGCGAGUUAAGGCUCACCUCCGCCAAUACUGUUUUAUUUCCACAAUGGAGCAGAUGCAAUCUUCAUUCAUCAUGGUCAAUAUCGAAAUUGCUGUGACGUCGCAGCGGGUUAACCCUCACCUCUAGAAACACUGUUCUAUUUCUACAAUGGAGCAGAACAAUCUUCGGAUUACCAUAGUCACCGUCGACAUUGUAACCAGUUAUGAUGUUGCACUGGGGUUCAGCUCACCUCCAGCAACACUGUUCUAUACUUCUAUAUCUAAGUUGGUUAUUCCUUGCUCGGGAAGACCCCAAUCCCACAAGCCCAUUAGCACAGCGCAACUACUGCAAUAUUCAAAAUCCAUUAAAGGCCCAGUGCGUAUUGCUCAUAAAAGCCUCUUAUCUAUGACGGAUUCACGCCGACAACUAAAUUGAAGAAAGCCAAGCGCAAACCCAGACAGCAAAUGAGGCAAAGAGAUUGAAGCUGUGCAACCAAGCAAUCUUAGAACUGCUCAUUUGGGAUGCAGCAAAUUUGAACAGGACAUAGAGAGCACUCAAAAGAUAAAACCAGUAACAAAAUUUCACAAACGAUAAAUAACAUUAGCCGAAGUAACAUCUUAACUAAAACGAUGCACUGUAUUCAAUACAUAAGAGAAGUAAAUCCAAAUCCUGCUUAUAUGGCAGAAAUUUCCAAAAGGAUCGCGAAAAGAAACAAUGGAGAUUGAAUGAAGCAAAGACUUCCUAACAAGGACUCUAGUUGUCAAAUGCAUCAUCAUCAUCAUCGGGAAGAGGUUGGGCAGCUGCUGCAUUAAGCUCAGCCUCAUGCCUGAAAUAAUAUCAACAAACACCAAAGUGAGAUGAUUUACUUCUAUGCCAAAUUUUCAUUCUACUGUCCAUAUAUAACUUAACUUUUUUUGGUAAUGAUCAUAUAACUAACUUAGCCUCAAAACAUCUAAACGUAGGAGAAAAUCACAUAGCAAGUUCAUGAAUGAAUAGGGCCUUACUGUAGUUGAGUAGCCAUGUCAAUCUGGACUUCUGGGGGAGCAAGAGCUGGAGACUCGACGAAAUGAAGAUUGGCAUCACUGAAAUGAAGGCAAUAAUAAUAUUAAUUAUGAGUGUCCAAGCUUGUACAUCAUUAAAACAAAAUGAGUCUAUAGUUAAUUACCCUGCAAGCUUCCUGGCCAGGUAGAGGAAAGGUUUCUCGAAAUUGUAGUUGCUCUUUGCAGAUAUCUCAUAGUACUGCAAGUUCUUCUUCCUAUGGAAGGUCACCUGCUUAGCUUUAACCUGCCUGUUCUUCACAUCAACCUUGUUCCCGCAGAGGACAAUGGGAAUGUUCUCACAAACCCUGAUAUUUUAAGAGACAAAUGUAACAAUUUGUCAGCAGGUGGGUAAACAAGACAACAAAAACAAGAACAGAUUUCAAUCUCUAGAUUCAUUCAACUCACCGGCAAAGAUCACGAUGCCAUGUAGGAACAUUCUUGUAUGUCAACCUUGCAGUGACGUCGAACAUAAUGAUUGCACAUUGCCCAUGGAUGCUGCAAAAUAAAAAAAUAAAUAAAAAAAUUUAGAAAGACAACCCUUAUUAGUUAUUACAAACAAUCGAUAAAACCAAAUCAUGACAACUAAAGACGCAUAGCCAGAUACCACAGAGACAAGCACUGGUAAUGAACCUAUGUUCUGUUCAAAGAAGAUGAGAAAGCAACGUGAACACAUCUUCCCUAAUGAUUUACUUUCUUGUUUUCAUAUGAAUACAUUACAUUCUCCCACCCAAAUCAUAAAAAGAUUCUAGACAACAACCAUACUCAAAGUCAAUUGCAUGCUUCUAAAUCAGAUAUCAACAAUCAACAUAUUGGUAGAGACCACUUACUAGUAACCAUCUCGAAGGCCACCGAAUUUCUCUUGCCCAGCAGUAUCCCAGCAGUAAAACCGGAUCUUCCCACAGUUUGUGAAGAAGUCUAGAGGAUGAACCUCCACACCAAUAGUUGCUGUUUCCAAAAUAAACAAAAAACCAUCAACAUAAAACCCAAAAUCCAAGCAACGGAGACAAAUUGACAAAUUGACCAAUUUCAAAAUUCAGAACGCGACUCUUACGUUCAUAUUUCUUCUCAAACUCUCCGGUAAGAUGCCUCUUCACGAAAGUAGUUUUUCCUGCGCAAUGCUCACACCAAUCAGCCUAAUCCAAAACUCAUCCGCUUACAGUAAAAAUAAACACUGAUAAAAUCAAGCCAAAAUUUACAGAAAAACGUGAGCAGUAACAAAUUAGAUCAAAUCGAUCAAACCUACUUCAAUCCUAUCGGAACGAAACUCCAAAAGAUCUAAAAUUUACAGAAAAACGAGAGCGGUAACAAAAUUAGAAGAUCAAAAAUUUACCGGUGCCUCCGUCGCCGACGAUGACGAGCUUGAAGCUCGGAUAAUCCACAGUCUGUUGGUUUGGCAAAGCCUACAACAUCAAAAUCGAAAUCAACACUAAACCCUAAUUCCCAAAAACAAAAGCACAAACAAAGACGAUCCAGAGCUAAAACCCUAAGGCAUGAUCGAGAAGAGAGAGAGAGAGAGUGAGAGAGAGGUACCAUGAUCGGUGAAGCGGCGGCGAAGUGAGAAAUAGAGACGGCGAUUUGGGGUUUAGAGGUAGGUAGAGGGAGGCGGAGGGGACUACUUAUAUAAGGCUGGGAGCGCGUGGCUUUAAAUCGACGCGACUAUCUCGCCCAUAUGAUUUGCGUAGUUUUAACGCUGGGUUCUAGAAACCACCGUUGAGGUGUGGGGUGAGUGUAAAAGGGGGUGUAGAGAGAUAUUUUCUCCCCUUUUUGAAUUUUGAAAGUUUGGAUCUCUAAUAACAAAGCUUUUGUUUACGGUUUUGAUUUAUUUGUGUUCUAUAAGUGCAAAGAUAUUUUUCUAAAUUUGAGAAAAUAGGAAAAAGAUUGAGUAUAAAUUCUAUGUCGAUUAGAUUUGAUGAAUCAAACCGGAUAAGAGGUAUUAUGUUUUGGAUUUUUACUAUCAAUGCGUGUAUAGUGAAGAUUUAGAUUUCGAGUUUUGAAAAACUGAUAGAAAAUGAGAGUACUGUAGCUACUCUUGAUUUUCGAUUGUAGCUGAUGCGCUGCCCUCUUGACACUUGAUACUCGAUUAUGGCCAAUGGCAGAACCACGUUUGGGUCUGUGGUGUCCAUACCUCUUCAGGUUUUCAAGCACUUCACGAAGCUACCAAGUUACUGGCAAAUACAUGAAAGUUAUUGUUUCUUUUUUGUAUGUUGUUGAGAUUGUCUCUUUUAUAGAUUAACUCAUUCCACACACACAUGUAUCUAGCAAGUGUAAAUUGUUUUUAACUAAUAUGUAUAAAUAUAAUAAUGUUUAUGUUAAGGAGUUUCGAUUACUCCUUAACAAUAUUAAUAUAAAUUUAUAAAUUUUUUCUCUUGCUAUAGCCAGUUCAGAUUGCUAUGAUAGUCUGAUACACGGUAUUUCAAAACCCUCUCAAAAUCGUGAUUACAUAAUAAGAUGAAACCAUCAGAAUGAAUUUGUUUUGGUGAUUCCGAAGACUUGCUACAGAAAGAACUAACGCAUCAAAAAAUACAGGAGGUUAUCAAGCGUUAAACCCUAGAAACGAUGAAGAGUUUACAAGCGUAAACUCAUCAAUAAAACUCUGGAAUUCAACAAUCAAUCGUGUCAAAAAUACUUUGGGUUCAAUCCCAUUAUUUUUUUUUUUUUUAAAUAUAUAUUUAGGAGUUUCUUAAAGUCAAAAGUCCUCUUUGUCCCCGCGUAUCCGGGUAUAUUACAAAAUCGUACCACGUAUCCGGACGUAUCCCAGAGGCGUAUCUACACUUGAUUAUGAGAGAAGAGAAAAACAAUGGGCGCAUAAACCCGGAAAUAGAGAGACCACAGACGACCCGAUUCUGGUUUUUAAGGCGAAGAACCUGAACCAAUUGCCACAGAUCUCAAGUCAUGGCCACCUGGCCCUCCUCUUCCGACCCUUCUAAUCAGUAAGCCCUUCAAAACCCACCCAUAAAUUAUCUCUAUGUUCUGUUUUCAUCUCAAUAAUCGAUUUGUUGCAUGCAUGAAUGUAUUUGGAAGGCAGCCUGAGGCAAUAAGGAAGAGAAAUAAGUCCGAUCAAAUUAAGUUCCUGAUUCCUCUCAUCUACGCCCCCGUGCUUCCCCUCAGUAAGUUUCGCCAAUUCUGCUCGGCUUUUUUUGUGGUUCAGUCUGUGAUGUUGUUCGUGUUUGACAUCUUGGUUUUUGUGUUUUCUUGGUCAGUUCGGAUCACGCUGCGGAAACAACCGGUUCUAAGGGACCGUCUGUUUAUUGCUGUGUUGGCUGGGGCAUUUGCUCAUGGCACUUAUUUGGUGUAUCCUUUUGUUGAGAUAUCGAAUUAUUGUGAUUGUUAUAAUGUUAUACUUGGUGACAUUCUGCUAAGAAAUUGCUAUGCUUGAUUAAGAAUGCGCCAAGUAUUGAUCUUUGCAUUUGAAUGGUUGAGGAUGUUAGAAGUUGGAAAUGAUUAGUACAUACUAAAUGUUUAUUUAUUUUAGUAUUUUGACUUAGCGAAUUUGGAUUGUUAGGGGAUGCAUUUGCAAUGAGAGGCUGUAGAAUAAGAAGUGUAACUGAACUCAGGGAGAGGUACAACUGCUUUGUUUCAGAUGUUUAAGAGUGUGCGUAAAUGUUAGCACAGAGAGUUGACGAUGUCUGAGUGGAAAAGAGCGUGAUAAAGCAUGUUUCUUUCUGUAGUUGACGCUCGUUGUGUAUAUGUGCUCAUCUGGUUUCUGUCUUACUAAUGAGCGUUGGAAGUUCCGGUAGUAGUUCAUACUUCAUAGGGAAAGGGAGGAUUGAUCUUUAAGAGUGUAUGUAGACAUGCACAGGCAGUUUAUGGUGGCUGAGAGCAGACAGGGAAGAUAAAUACAACUCUUUGUAUAGUUGGGUGAUGUUUUCAUCCGCUUUCUUUAUUUUGUCUCAGUUGUUCAUUAUUUAUCGGGUUUCGUCUGUUGAUGUUUCAUUGGAGGAAUAAGAUGUUAGGACUUAGGGGAAUUUGUUUUAGAUAAUUUGUUUGAAUCACAAGCUCAAAUUUAUAUUGGUAAUAUGGUACUGGAUAUGAGAUUUCAUAGAUAGUAGAGUACCUCAUUUUUUCUUUUCUGCUUGCAAGUUAGAGUUCUUCACUGCAUCCUCUUGUGGUUCCUAGGGAGAAUUAGCAUUCAGUAGUUAUUCUGAAUUAAUCCUUUGAUUUAACCAUGUUUAAGCAAAAGUUUUCAUUCAAAGUAAUACGGUAUCAGAGUUAUGUUCAUGUAAAUUUCUUCUCAAGAAUCUUCCACUGUUAUUAACUUUUUGCAACUCUAUGUCUCGUCUUUUUUUUUCUUUGUAUUCUGUUGUUGAUCCUUAACAGACUUUUUGCAGGACGGAUCUUUUUAAUUGAGAGCAAGUAAAAUUUGCACACAUAGUUGAGAUAUGAGGUAGCGUACAUCUCUUCAACAACUUUGAAUUGUUUUGCGGAUUCUUUGCAGCUCAAUGCUUCAAUGGCUCCCAGAGUAUACUAAUACAAUUUUGAUAUUGUCUCUGGAUGAUUCCUAGAUUAUAUCCAGUUAUUAUUAAGUAUUUACUAGUCCAUUUCUUUUCCUUUUCACUAGCUCUCAACAAGUUUUCAACACUGUUUUACUGAUUACAAUAAGAACACGAUCGAAAUUGUUUUGUUAAUCUCUUUGGUGAUCUUAGUUAUGUAUGUUGAUAUACUGUAGAGGACUUGCAGUCUGCCUUGCCAAACCUUAGCAUACUAUUACUAUUUGGACAGUUAACCCCUUUUAUAACUGAUAGCAGUCUAAUUGAUGCGGAUGUCUAGCAAGAGUUUGUUCUACCGAAAAUCUGUUGGAACACUCUUGCUUCAAGUGAGAUUUUGCCUCUGAUUCUAAGUCCUUCCAAUGCCAAAUAUCUGGCUAGGGUUGGUUGUCACAAGAUGUCGCCAUCAUCAAGUCAUGGACAUUUCAUGAGCUACAUGCAUUCCACAAAAUAGUUGUGAUGCACAUAGGCAUAUUCCGAUAUCGGAUUCUUUCUACGAUUCGAGUCAUGGACAUUUCAUGAGCUAUAUGCAUUCCACAAAAUAGUUGUGAAUCACGUAGGCAUAUUCCGAUAUCGGAUUCUUUCUACGAUUCAGUAUCUCAACCAAGAUCCAAAUAUUCUGUAUCCCACUUGCCACUUGUCCUUCCAUCGAUCCCCACAUCAAAUCCUAACCUCUGAUAAACCCUAGCUCUGGAAAUUCGACUAAAACCCCAAACUCCUAAAGCUUGCAUAGGUCGCUCACUGGAUUAGAGAUUAAUAUAACUAAUUAGGUCACAUCAUUCAUCGUCAGAUCCAAUAUUGAUGCAAAGCAUAGAGAUAUAUAGUGUAUACAAAUCAAUAAUUACAUACUUAAUCAGCUUAAUCACGCAAUUAACUCAAUAAACAAAGGGAAAAUGAAAGCAUAACAUAAAAUUAAUGCCAUCACCAUCUUACACAAGUUCAACCCCUUUAAAUCUACUUUAAUAAAAAAAAAUGAAAAAAUAGAUGAUCUGGGGCUCCCUUCGAUCCGAUCCUAAUUAUCCAGGCGUUAUUGACGCGGCCGGCUCAGAGAUCGGACCGGUUCUUGAAAUCGGAGGCGAGUCUGUUGGCGAUGGAGGAGUGGUACAUGGCGUCGUGAAACGUCUCCGUCUCGAUGGUCUUGAGCCGGAGCUGCUUGGCCUUCUCCUCCGUGAAGCAGCCCGGCGCGAACCGGGAUCGCUGCGGCGGCGGCUUGGACUCCGGUCCGGCCUCGGCCGGCUCGGUGGAUUUGGAGUUGGUGGAGUCAAUGUAGUCCGGUUCAGCGGACCAGCCGAAGAGGGGGCUCCACCACUUGGAGGUGCGGGCCGGGUCGGGCUUGCGGUUGGCGGCGGCGCACGGGGCGGUGAGGGAUGGACGGAAGUGGAUGAGAUUGGUGGCCAUUUUUAGAGAGAGAAAGAGAUGAGAGAGAGAGAGAGAGAGCUUCUUCAAAUGAACGUUUGCGUUGGGGUUGGAGUAAUGUGCCAGUUUGCAGGUUGCGAAUUUAAAGGGGAAGUGUGGGAAAAGUGGAUAAGGACCGACAGUGUUCGUGUUCGUACAAUAAAUAACUCCGGGCACGUGUGAGCAGGGGCCCACUUUGGCUUUUUGAGUUUUGAAUGAACAUUCCUACCGGCUAAUCCGGUCUCCGUUUAGAUUUGGUCUUAGAUGCCUACGGGAUAGUGAAUGGACCGUAAUAGCCUCCUUUUCACUUUUUUUACUUUUUUCUUUUACUGUUGGCCUCUGUGAUCACGGAGUCUUCAAUAUUAUGUACACGGUGUGUAGUUUCACUUAGGGCAUCUCUAAAAAUGGUUGCCAUACCUAAAUUCAUACUUAAAACCCAUAAAAAUUCAUCUCCAACAAUUAAAACUCAUACUCAAUUAUGGGUUCCUACUACACAGACGACCCAAAAUGGGUCGAGUUGCAAGGAGGAAACCCAAAACUGUAGACGCGGGACCCAGAUGGCAACAAAAGGCAGCAGGUGCACGUGAAAGACUGGGUAGCGGCAGGAGCUACACGCGGUGAGCUUGGUCUGUGGAGAACGCGCGCUAAAGACAGAAAAACGGGCAGGCGAGGAGCGCGCGGGAGCGCGAGACGCGCCAAUCACGCGUGAGCGGGAGAUGCACACCUGCGGUUGAACCACGUGAGCUCGCUUCUGACCCUCCAAAGGUCCAAAAACGCUCGGCCCAGAUUGAAUGAUCAUUCAAAUCAUCAGGUCCAGAAAAAAUAGGCCGAAAAUUAAAUAAUUUGAAUGAAAAAAAUUUGGGUAUGAGUAUGGGUUUUGAUAUAAUGGUUGGAGAUGAAAUAUGAGUUUGAAUAGUAAUGGGUUUGGGUAACUCAAAAUAUGGGUAUGGGUUUGAGUAUGACAACCAUUGUUGGAGAUGCCCUUACCUAUGUGGAUAUAAACAGCUAUGAAUAAACCGUGUACUUGUACCGUUAUGUAUACAAGAAUUUUUCGUUCUAGGGUCAGUCUUAUUCUUCAAAUGGGUAGUUUAUAAAUUAAAUUAAAUUAAAUUAUGGUAACAGAAAAAUAGAUGAUGUGUGAUAAAUAAAAUAGCGUGUGCAUAGUAUCAUCAAUCCUCUCGAUUAUUAUAUGAACCAGUCUUCCAUGGACUCGAGUAUAUAUGUAAUUCAUGCAGGGCUUAGUAUAUCCGAGUAUAUGCCAUUGAAUCACUAGCUACUUGAACAAUAUGAAAUUAGUUUUACAAGUUGAAGUAUAAUCUACAAAUUUUCUCCGACGCAUGUACCAUGCUAUCAUUGAAUAUGAUGGAGUACGUCGUCAAACUAUUCUCAAGCGGCAUAACAACCGCCGGUAAAUACAUUUCUCAACCCAGCUAAGACAGCAAGAGAUGAAAAUAUCCCAUGCAGAUGCAGAUGCCAUAUUGAAUAAGUUGUCGUGGACGAUCAUGAAAACCGAAAAAUUGGAGCUUCCCCGAAACCUUGGUCUCGUUCUCUUGACGUUUUCCCCCGACUGACCUUUCCAAGUUUGGAGGAAAGAGGCCAAAGUAUGAUUCAAAAUUGGUACAAAACAGUAGCAUCGUCGAUACAUAAGAGCGAAGAUUCCCCAGAUGCUCUAUGUCGUCCCUGUCCUUCAUUCGUCCGUUUGUCUCCGUCCUAAAACUGCAGAAAGUCGGACGGUAUGUACACGUUCAGAUCAGUCUAUUCAAAAGUCUGAAGAUUCAGAACAUCCUUGGCCCUUGGAUUUUCUGUUGGUGAAUACGACAUGCGCGCACGUUUUUUUGUUCUCUGGUUCAAAAUUCAAAUAUCUCUCUUCGUGUUCGUUUUGGAGCUGUAAAACCUCAAAAUGAAUCCGGCAGAUAAUACAAAGUUACUUCUCGAUCACUGUCGAGGUGGUAGCUAGGGAUCGAACUUUUCAAUUUUGACCGAUGCUAAAUGAGUCAUUGCCACAAGUCCCUCAGCCGCUCAACUUGGAAGCUGAGAACAACGUUGCUUUGUUUUCAACUCUAGUGCAAUGUGGGAUGUCCGCCGAGACUUGACUUGUCUGGAUGGGGAUUUCAUUAGAAGGCCACAAGAUGCAAGGGGCGACCCAAAUAGCUAGGCCUGCAUAGAAUAGAAUGAGGCCCAAAAACAGGUGUCCUUCCAUUAAUUUCCUAGGCCACCAAUAUCACUAGAAAUGUGUAGAAAUUCGGCCCUAGAGGACUAUUUGGGCCCUUCAUGGAUCAUACGAUAUAGAUCAGAUAUAUAUAUUGUAGGCCUUAUUUGAUACUAUAUAGCUCUAUAUAUCCGGACUACUACUCACCUUGUUUCUUUAAGUGAUCCUUGUAUGUUAUUGGCCAUUUAUCUUUGCAUCUCUUAAUCCAGACUUCGGAAUGAUGAAUGGUAAGUCAGUAUGUAUUAGGGAAGAGCUUUCCCAUCGUUCUGUUAUAUCAAGCUGAAUGAAGUUGUACGUACCUCGAUGAAAAAGGAAAGCUAAUCCAGUUGCGAGAAGAAGAUCGAAGUUGUUCAUGGUGAGAAUAGAAACCCUGAGGCAAAUUGUGCGUAACUCGUACAGAGAAUUAGUGCAAUAAUGUGACAGUUAAGUUAAAGCUUGAACAUCAAUGCUAAAGGCAUCACUUGCUUGUUUUGGAAUCACGUACAACUUCGAAAUCUUGACAGAAAGUGUUAACUAAUUGUAUCCCUGUUCAGGUUUUUGAUGAACUCCGCAAGUCACUAAAUCUUCUCUUUCGACCAACUUUGUGUCUAUCAAGCAGUUGUUGCUCCAUCAUAGUUUCCAGUAGUUCAUCACAAAAUAUCAAGGUUGGCUAGACAUGUAUAUAUAUGUCUCAUGUCAUCCAAAUCCAAAACGAAUGUACCACAUGCAUGAAUAGAAGAAUUGCUAUAUACGAACCCAAGCUAUCAGCCAAGCAGUCGAAAGUCAUGCACAGCACAACUAACUGAAGCAUCAGUGUGACGGUGAUGAUCAUGAGUUGCAGUGGUUACAUGCAUGUUGGUUAAUUGAAGAAGCUAACCUAAACUUAUCUCACUGCAUGCAACUUGUGUGGUCCGCUCUCCAAAAUUUCGAGACCACAAUCCCACAUGCAGAGAAAUUUAAGACGUUGAAGAAUUCCUACAGUGACAACUGAUACGACUCCCUCCUCAAGUUGGAAUUAAAGACAUUAAUCUUCUGCAGCAAAGCUUUUGUUAAUUUUUCGGGUCCAUUUCAUAUAGGGUUCGGUUGCUAUAUAUAUUUAUAUGGCAUACAUCAAAUCGUGAGUCGUCCGAUCGUUUAACAAUUUAAAAUUCAAGACGAUUGGACAACUCACGGCUUAAUCUUAAUGUAUGCUAUAUAUAGCAUAGUAGAAAAGUCUUUUCCUAUAAACCUAACAGAAGGGCUUGGCUAAUAUAGUAACCCAGAAUCUCCCCCAUCUCCAAUAAUGCUUCUCAGAUCUUUAUGAAUAUGAAUAUGAAUUAUUAAGGUGGUGGGAGACAUUUAAUCAUUGAUGCCCUCUAUUGGAGCUUUGCAAAGGGUCCAAAGUUAGGUCCCAAAUCGGCAUGUCACUCCUUUUCCUCUAGUUGUUAGUCGCCAUUUCUAGGACCUCUACAGGGCUCCAUGAGCUGACUGGGUUUUGCUUCUUCCAAAUGUCUAGGCCUAUCCCCUUUCACUUUCAGCAACUCAACCACCGACCCAAUUCUCCGUCACUGACCAAGCUUAUGUUGUAAUUUAGCUUACAAGUCAGACUUUAACACUAAUCUAAUUUACCCAACAGUAAACACAAAAGGGGUUAUAGAGAAGCUGUAGUCAUCGCCGGCGACCGUAUCUUUAGCAGCCGGGAUUGGUUUGUGUAACCUAAUUAACCUCCAGACUCGGGGAAACAAAGCAGACCAAUUAUGAUUCAUGUUCAUGAAGAGCUAGCUUUUCUGUGCCAUCAUAGUUUUUAAACUUAUAAAGCCUAACUUAUGAUGGGGGAAGGGGCCUCUACCGCCCUCUAGUACCUAACUGACUUUAAAAUUUACAAGGCAUGAAUCUACGCAAUGCAAUAAACAUGGUCGGCCGCUUCUCAUAAUUGAAAUUCAUUCGAAUCUAGCUAGCUAGCUAGACAUAACUAUAUGCAUGAUCGGUUGUUCCUACCUAGCUAUAGACAAUUAACCUAGCACUGCGCGCUCGCUCUCUUUGAAUUUUAGUACUCAUGCAUGCAUAGUGCACAGUGCCCUUACGGUCAUAUCCCUGCAGCAGAUCCUGCUGCAGAACCUGCAUGCCUCCCCUGCGUAUAUAAUACAUAUACAUACACAAACAUUUCUAACUCUCUACUUUAACAUACACAAAAAUAAGACGAUUGACUAAUUAAUCAUAAUGCUUUUUAAUAUAAAACACAACCUUUUCUAUUGGGGAAGAAAGAAUAGGCUUCAAGAAAGAAAUCAUCUACCCUGAUCAUAAUUUCUUCAAUGACAGAUUGACAGAUGUAAUUACAGGACGUACUACUGCCCGCACACACGUUAAAAUAAGAACGGUCUAUAUUGCAGUCCAUUUUUCCUCAAGAGAUACCAAUCAAGUUUGAAACCCUAGCAUGGAAAUAAUGCAUAUAUGCGAACCUUCAAAUAAUUAAACAGUGGUUGUCCAGAAAAGACUGGUCCAGUUAAAACCCGUGUGCGUACAGAGAUGCAAAGCAAAACUGCGGUACUGGGUUUAGACUCCUUCACGGAAAGACAACCAAAACCCUUUGAAACUUGUUCAAAGCGAACCGCGGACCCAUGAGAUCGAUCAAACUGGGACCAGGGUAGAUACCUCUUUGUGUUCUUUCGACUCAAUUAUCAAACUUAAAUUUUGCCCUAGCUUCUGGCUUUAUCUAUCAAUUCCAAAAGAGAAUCUAAAAACGUACCCUUGUUAAAUUUUGCUUCCCUUUCCUUUUCUGCCUGCUUUGUCCACAUUGAUCUAACAGAUACAACUAUCUUCUACCAUGAAAUCGAUAUGCUGUCAUGGAUGAUGUAAUAUAACAUUUUGGAACAAUUUCGAACACCUAAAGCUAGCUAGAAGUUCAGAAAAAUGCUUCUAAGCUAUCGAUUAAGUUCAACAUUUAGCUAGUUUCUUUAACCCUAAUCUAGAAGUUCAGAAAUAAGUUAGGAGAAUCAAACCUAAAUCUUUUGUUGUUAAUACUUGAACAAGUAAAGCACGUAUUCCAUUAAUUGGAGACGAUUGAUUUGCAUAAAACCACGUACUUAAUUAUACGUAUAAUACAUGUAUUGAAUCUUUGGAACAUAUAUAGUAUCUCACCGAUUCAAUAUACUUCCCUAAGAAAUGGUAGGGCAGGAGUCGAUUUGCCUUUUCUUGAUCACAAUUGAGACAAAACAUGACAAUCGAUCACUUUAAUUUAUUUCUGUGCUGGUCAAAAAUGGGAACCCCGUUAAUCUUUUUGGUAAUCAUCAACAACUUCAUGGAAGCACCAUUAUAUUCAUGAUUUUCACAAUUAAAUUUCGACCUACCACACCCAUCUACCACCUCUUGAUUUUCAAUGGUGUAUGUUCAAUUCCGAUGUCCAAUCCCAAUGGCUGGCGGUAGUGCUUUUCACUUCGUUCAUCGUUAAUCAAUGAGUUUCUUGUUUACUUUCUUAUCAGAGUCAUAGCUAUGUCAAUGACUUCCUUCGAUCACUUGAAAAGAUUUAAAAAACAAAAAACAAAAAGAUUUGUUUCUUUCGCACACUGUGAUGAUCGACAGGAAAUCACAAGGUACCAGACGUGUCGCACAGGCAACGGUGUUAGAGAAUGUUGUAUUAGUUUUGCAACGCUAGGUUUAUACUUUAAACUUUACUUAUAUGUGCCUUCAAAAGUAUCAAAGUGCAAAAUAAAAGAUUUAAAGAGAAAAGUUGAAUCAACGAGUACUCAAAUAAUAUUGCUUUUAUGGUUGGUUGAUGAAGAUGUUGGAGCUGGACUGCUGGAGACUUGGAUCUAGCAAAGCUAACAUCAUAGGGAAAAUGAUUAGUACGUGAAACCUGUGUACCCUAAUACUAAUCAUGUAACACAUGCUUUGAGUACCGGUAAAUAUUGAGUCUUCUACGUACCACAUCGAUUUGGGCAUGUUAUUUCCUGUUUUUCAUCUUUUUAUGUUUUAUAAUAAUUUCUCGUCAUUUUGAUAAUCCAAUUACGAAUUGACAAAUUAUAUGUAUGUUCGUAUUAUGGUAGAGAAAACUUUUCUACUUUAAUUUUCUGCUGAUAUCCUCAUUGGAUGAGUAAGUAAAUAGGAAUCAAGAACUAAGGAUAUAGUAAGAAUAAUUUCUAUUUUUGUAACAGAAUUACAGAACACAAAGAAUCAUUUCCAUAACAAAAUUAGCCGAGUCAAAUAUAUAAGUAUUUUGCUUUUCUCGUUUUAAUUAAUUGAAAACAAUAUUAACAAAAGAAGAAAUUAAUCAAUUGUCUGCUUCAACUUGUAGUGCUCCAUCACUACAGAUCGAUCGCCUAACCAAAUAACCAACAACUAGCUAGCAAGGGUUCAUCAUCAACAACUAGCUAGUCAACCAUUCUAAUUCUAUUUCGUGCGUGCAUGCGUGCGUUGGACUUACCUGGAGAGAAGUGGAGGCAUACGAUGCACCCAUGCAUGUUCCAUAAAUGGUCAUGUUCUUCUUCGUCACCGAUCACGACCCUUAUUUUAGCUAGAGAAAUCGAUAUGGCGGCAGAGAUCUAAGAAUUAAGAACAACAAUCUGGAUCUGCCUGCUACACUUUCUACGUUGAUUCUUACUCAAUAUAGAUAGAUAUCCUUCUUACCAGAACAGGAAACUCAACCACUUCUAUAAUUUUAAGAACAAACAAGUGAAAAUAUAGUCUGUAUGUGGAUAAUUUUAUUUAGUUAGCACAUCUGGACGACUUUGAUUUAAUUUUAUUAAGCAUUUGAUGGCCUGCUUGAAAAAGUAGUCUCAACACGCCUCUGCAUGUGUGGUGAAUUUUCAAGUCUAACACGUGGACAACAUUUGGGGUGACGUGGAGUUGGUGUGUCCGUUCCGAGAAAUUUUUCAAUGCUCCCGAAGGACCACGUGACAAUCUAACGUGGUCCUCCAUUGCCAAUUAAUUUUUGACACGUGGAUUUAUUACAACUAAAAUAUAAACUAAGGUUUUCUAUAUUUUGUGAAAUGAUCGUCUUGGGUUUUUUAUGAGUUCGGCCUAGGGUUUAGGGGUUAGGGUUUAGGGUAUAGGGUUUAGGAUUUAGGGUUUAAAAUAUCAACAAGAAACCCAAAAUGGUCUUUGAAAAAAUCACGAAAAUUGUUUUUCAUCAUGAAAAUUUACAUGUCAAAAUUUAAAUUUGACACGUGGAUUUAUUACAACUAAAAUAUAAACUAAGGUUUUCUAUAUUUUGUGAAAUGAUCGUCUUGGGUUUUUUAUGAGUUCGGCCUAGGGUUUAGGGGUUAGGGGUUAGGGGUUAUGGUUAAGGGUAUAGGGUUUAGGAUUUAGGGUUUAGGGGUUAGAAUUUAAAAUAUUAACAAGAAACUCAAAAUGGUCUUUGACAAAAUCACGAAAAUUGUUUUUCAUCAUGAAAAUUUACAUGUCAAAAUUUAAAUGGAAUUGAGGACCACGUUAGACUGCCACAUGGUCAUUCGGGAGCACUAAAAAAUUCCUCUGGCCGUUACACAUUCACACGUGGACAUGAGUAACCCACUCUAAUAUUAUGGUAAAAUAGUCUGGAGUUCACAUCCAAAACAAAUUGGUAAUGGGUGGAGUGACCCAAACCCUUAUAAACCCACAUAUUUGGAUUGAUAUCUCAACACGCCCCCUCACAUGUGGUGAAAUUUCAAGCCUAACACAUGGACACCAUUUGGGUGACGUGGAGUGUGUGUGACCAUUAGGCUUCACACAUGGAAUGGGUAACCUGCUUUGAUAAAGUAGUCUGAGAUUCAUAUCCAAAACCAAUUGACAAUGGAUAAAGAGACCCAAACCCUUAUAAACCCACAUAUAAGGUCCUAUAUUCCCGAUGUGAGAUUAAUAUCUCAACAUUGGUAUGCCAAUAUGUCAUCGAUGAAUAUACAUACUGGCAUUGCUAAACAAUAUGGAGAAAUGCAUAAUUACAACUUGAGAUAUGUUAAAAAGUCGAUUACAUAUAUCUGUAUCAAAGUUGACGAAAUUAAUCAAUUUUAAUCAAAUCGAUUGAAAAUCUGAAAGUGAUCGAUGCACGCAGACGACAAACUUCCAUGGCCUCCACAUGAGAUGACGAGUAUUUUGGCUGAUAAUGGAGAUUAUUAAACUAAAUCUAGCAUAAUUGUCCACGACAAUUUGGUUUAUUAAUUAGUUAUAUAAAUCUCUACUUGAGUCGUUCGAUUCUUAUAAUAAGCUAGAUCUUAUUAUGGAUGGAUAAGUUCUUAUAUAAUAUAUAAUUGUUGAAUUUGAACCUUUGCACCACAUUAAAAUGAUGAUCUGCAUUCUUUGAUAGAUAAAUAAUCCGAAGUUAUUUUCAUGCAAGUACAAGAAGUUUGAAGAUUCCAGAGGUUUUUGGUAGAGACAUAUCUAACUUCACUGUUUUUAGAAUCUAGGAUAAUCACAUACACAAAACACCAAUUCAUUCCAGUGUAUUGAACCAAAUGACUAAACCAAGUCUGAUAGAUAAUACCGAAGUACUAUUGCUCGGAUGGGCGAGCAGUACUAUUUCUCCAACUCGAUCAUUCUUGUCAUUUCCGUUCAAUUACAUCGAUAGCUUUGGAAACCCUAGCAAAACACAGAAUGAAUAUUUUUUUUUCUAUUAAAAAAUAAUUCUUUGCAUUAUUUUCUGAGAUACUUUUGACAGUCGAUUUUGACUCAUCUAUUCACAAUUAUAUAUAUUAUAAAAAAAAAAUCUGAAUUAUAUAUAGAUGCAUAAGUUCAUCAUAUUGUACUUUGCUUGGACGAGGACAGCACUCUGUUAUAUUGCAUAUAUCCCAAGUUAAUUAUCCUACUCAUCAACGAAAUUAUACUUCUCUAUAUUGUUCUUAGAGCAGUCGUAAAUGGAGUCGCAGGCAUGUUUUCCCAAAUGUAUAGUCACGAGUCACGACUGUUCUUUCUCCUAGUUUUAAACUUAACUGUUUCACCUCAUGGAUUCAACUCAUUCAAGUAAUUGAUAAUUUGACAUAAAUAAAGUUAUAUAUACACAAUUGUCUUCCCGUAUAUAGCUAGUUUCUUGAAAUUUCCAAUAUGUGACUAUAGCAUUGAGACGUUUAACCCAUCGCUCUCUCUAGCAGUUGCUUGGCCUUUGUAGACAUGUCUCUACAUGCAGGUGCGUUGGUUUGUUCUUGCAUUUUUUUUGUUUUCUCUUAUAUAUUCUAACAUUUCAUCUUGGUAAAUUUUUUAAUCGCAGCGGGUAUGCAUGUUUGGUUCCCUUUCUAUGUAGUGAAAGACUGAAAGCAAUGGAUUUCAGACUUCAAUGUAGAGCAGACAUGGAUCUCUUUCCUAAACAAGAGUUUAGAAAAAUAAUGGAAAAAAAAAUACAAGAGGAAGUACUUUUCUACUAUACUAUUUUUUUUAAAACUUUUUAUUAAUAACUCACACACCUUACAUAUAUCAGUGAGAUUUGAACCCAUGACCUCAAAGUUGUCAAUUUAACAUCUUAACCAACCAAGCCACGGCUCACCGACAACUUUUCUACUAUACAUGUGUGUAUAACAUAUAUCAAGCCGUGAGCCGUAUGAUCGUCUUGAAUUUUAAAUUGCUAAAUGAUCGGACAACUCACAGCUUGAUGUAUGUCAUACAAAUGUGUAUAACAGCCAAACCCCAAGAGCAAACUUUGUAAUCUUGCCCAUUUGUUCUGCGUCCAUAGGCCUUUUCACUAGUAGUUAUUGACAAAGUCACAAAACCAUAGUUGGUGUAUUUUUUUUUUUCAAUCAAAAACGUAAAAGGUGAAUGUAGUGAUAAACUUUUGUAUCUUACAUUUAUCAUAUGGUUUCACAGCACUUUCAUCAUUUCGUGCAAAUUCGAUAGAAAUUAUAAACUCUACGUACAUAUGAGCGUAGAAAAUAAAGUUACAAUUCAUUUAAAAUUUGCAUUAAACAUUGUCGCAUUUUCUAUCGAACAUGCAAAACAAUUGUCGAUAACAAAGCUACAAAUGCAUCUACACAUGUUUUUUCUUUUAUUAAAUCCCUCAAUUCACCCCUCUUAUAUAUAUUAAGUGAUAUUUGAACUCAUAAUAUCUGUUAAGCUAGCUAACCAACAGAUUACGACUCACCAAAAACUCUUAAGUAGUCUACUAGUCUUACGACACGAAACUUCCUUUUGGCCCUAAAAUGGUUAUGUCACCCCCGUCCUCCGUUACAACAACCUUAGCCCAUAGAAAGCCUCAUUAAUCAUGCAAACCUUACGUCACCUCCAUCCUACACUCACACAAUUACCUCCUUUGCCACCCCGACUUUCAACUCUCAAUUGUUUAUUGGACGGCCAAGGGCAUUCGGCGAUGCAGACAAAAGUUCACAAAACUCUAAAUCAUAGGGUCAAAACAGUAAAAACACCAGCAAAAGACCUCUAUAUAUUAGAGUAUUAGACACCCGGGUCCGAUAUCGAAACCAACCGUAAAAAGCCAUGUCUAUGUUGGCACCGAGCUCAGACGUAUAGCCGAGCCCGAACCAAACUAUAAGAUCCCCCGUAUUAUUAUAUAUAUAGCAAAAUUAAAAUAUUUCAAGGACUCUCUAGGAGAGACCAAGCACCUUAUUUAUAGCGAUCUCUUUUUUUUGAUACGUAUUUAUAGCGAUCUCUGGGGGCUUUAAACCCCAGUGGAGGCACAGCUAGCCCUCUCUUGUUUCUCUAAACUCAAAGGCUAGCUAGAAACAACAAUCCCAAGAGACAAAAACCAAGUUUGCAAUGGCGUUCAGUGGUGUUUCAAUGUGCGGCCAAGAACAGCUGGACUUGUCUAGAGACGGCAGCCACUACAGCCUCUCCACCGGAAUACUGCCCUCUCUCGGCGCUAGGUCUAGUAACCGGAGAGUCAAGCUCGGCCGGUUUAUAGUCUCGCCGUACGACCGGCGUUACAGGUACGCCUUUGUUUUCAAUCCGAACACUUACGUCGAGAAAGGAAUCCAUUUAUAUUUGGUUUGUUAUUAAGUAUUUUUCUAUGUAGUAAUAUAUUUCAAGGUUGGCUGCAUAAUUGGUUUGACUACACUAGUUUACUGGGAUUAAUUUUUAAUGGUUUCCUCUUCUUCUGGGUUUGUGUUUUCGGAGAAGAACGGCAUUGAAAACUCGGUGACCGUUUUGCAUGCUUUCGUGGUUAUACUGAAAGCGUUACAACUGGUGUUUCGUUUUUCUGUGGUCAUAUUUGUCUUCUUCUUUUCGUUUUGUUGGAGUUACAGUCUCUUUGUUACUCUGCGUUCUUGUUGAUUCUUCUUCCAUUGUUAUCGUUUUCCGGCGAGGAAAGACGACGUUGAAUCUUGAGGGUUGCCUUUUUCAGUGAUCAAAAUUCAAAAGGAUUCAUUUGUUUCUGCUUUUGCCUUUUGCAGAUUUUAAUUUAUUUUUCUUUAAAGGUGUACGUGUUAAUGCUCUGUGAUAAACGUACGUGGUGCUUAAUAAAAAGCAUUUCACUGUAAAAUUCUAGGGGUCAAAAGUUUCAUUCUUGCAUUUCUUUGGAUUCAGGGUUUGCUUUUCAUAUGAGAUUCCAGGUCUGUGACUGCUAUUCCAAACUGAAACUGACAUAUCGAAUUUGGCACUUAUAUGACAUUCUGAUUUCUUGUUUGGCUUCGAAAUAAAAGAAAAGGGUUUUUCAAGUCAGAGGUGGAGGCCUCAAAUCACUCUUUUUGACUUGAAUGGAAAGCAAUCAGCUCGGUUUCAUUUGUUGAUUUCUUGGCAAAUUCUGAAUUAGAUGCAAAAGGAAACGAAGUCAAGUUUCGUUUCGGCUUGUCAGCGAACCAUGACAUGAUGAUUUGAAUUCUGCAUUAGUUAACACCUGUACCUAUGUUCUGUGAGUAAAAUGGAAGUCUCUUAUUGCUAAAAUCGGCUCAGAUUGAAUUGUUUCUUGCAGGAUUUGGGAGACAUUUCUUGUUGUUCUGGUCAUCUACACUGCUUGGGUCUCCCCCUUCGAAUUUGGCUUUCUUAAGAAACCACAAGGACCCCUCGCCAUUAUUGACAACAUUGUCAAUGGCUUCUUUGCUAUAGAUAUUGUUCUUACAUUCUUUGUGGCUUACCUGGAUAAGGCUACAUAUCUACUUGUUGACGAUCAAAAGCAGAUUGCUUGGAAGUACGCAAGUACUUGGUUGAUCUUUGAUGUCAUUUCCACAAUUCCUUCUGAACUUGCUAGGAAGAUCUCCCCUAAACCUUUCAGGUCUUAUGGCUUUUUCAACAUGCUCCGGCUUUGGCGUCUUAGAAGAGUUAGUGCUCUAUUUUCCAGGUACAGGGUUUUCUUAAAUGUAUCUGCGGAUUGGAAAGUGCAUAUUUCCUGUGUACUAAUUGUGCAUGAUUCUGUUUUAACAGAUUGGAGAAAGAUAGGAACUAUAACUACUUUUGGGUUCGUUGUGCAAAGCUUAUUUGUGUAAGUAAUUCUGAUGGUUUUGGGGUUGUUAUACUGAAGAAAUUGCAAUUCUUAUGCAGUGCCAUCUUAAUGGGAUUCGGAUGAUCUUUCUGUAGGUCACCCUUUUUGCGGUUCACAGUGCUGGAUGCUUCUAUUACCUUCUUGCAGCGCGUUACCGCGACCCCAGUAACACCUGGAUUGGAAAAUCAAUGGAAGACUUUCUUCAUCAAAGUAUAUGGAUUCGAUACGUGACUUCAGUUUAUUGGUCUAUCACUACACUCACAACAGUUGGCUAUGGAGAUUUGCAUCCUGUCAAUACAAGGGAGAUGAUCUUUGACAUAUUCUACAUGCUUUUCAACCUUGGAUUGACAUCAUACUUGAUUGGAAAUAUGACCAACUUGGUUGUCCAUGGGACUAGUCGAACACGAAAAUUUGUUAGUAAACUCAAUUGCUUUCUUUUUAGAUUUGGUAGAAGAAAAUAAACAAAAUGUGAACUCACAGUUCAUCAUUUUUUCACAGAGGGAUACCAUACAAGCUGCCUCCAGUUUUGCACAGAGGAACCAACUGCCUGUUCGCCUGCAGGAUCAAAUGCUUGCUCAUUUGUGUCUGAAGUUCAGGACAGAUGCAGAGGGACUCCAGCAACAAGAGACUCUUGAUUCACUUCCUAAAGCCAUCCGCUCAAGUAUCUCACAUUAUCUGUUUUACUCUCUUGUCGAUAAGGUGUACUUGUUUCGUGGGGUUUCAAAUGACUUGCUUUUUCAGUUGGUAAGUUCAAACCGUUCUACAAAUUUCCAUUGAAUGCCCGUCUUACAGUGAACUUUUUAAUAUGUUCUGUUAGAUGUUCAGCUGAUUCUUCUUUUUUCCCUUCUCAAUCCAAAGGUCUCAGAGAUGAAAGCCGAGUACUUUCCUCCCAAAGAAGACAUAAUAUUGCAGAAUGAAGCACCUACAGAUUUCUACAUACUUGUAACUGGUGCUGCGGUAAUAAUUGAUCUUUUGUUUUCCUUUCAAUUUCACAGGCAUUAUUCGCUUUCCUGCUCAUUCUAUUAUAGUUUACUUUCUGAAUAAUGUACUUAUUGUUUGAAUUUCUUAACAGGAUUUAGUGGUACUCAAGAAUGGAGCUGAACAGGUAAACUCCAAUCUGAUCAUGAUGAACAUGUUUCUACCUUUUAAUAGAUUUGGCUUCCUUGAUGGUGAGGAGUCUGACUUUCUAUUUUAACUAAUUGCAGGUCAUUGGUGAGGCAAAAACUGGUGAUCUCAUUGGUGAAAUUGGGGUACUUUGUUAUAGGCCACAGCUCUUUACAGUAAGGACCAAAAGAUUGAGUCAGCUACUCCGGCUCAACAGAACCAAAUUUUUAAGCAUAGUGCAAGCUAAUGUUGGAGAUGGAACUAUAAUAAUGAAUAACCUCCUCGAGGUUUGUUAACAUGAUAUAACCUCUUAAAAUUUCCUUGGUUUAUAUUUUGAAAGGAUUUUGACAUGCUACACUUUCUCAAUGGGGCAGCGUUUGAAAGAGACGUCCAAGGAUCCAUAUAUGGAGGGAGUUUUGUUGGAGACUGAGAACAUGCUAGCUCGUGGUAGAUUGGAUCUACCUCUCAGUCUAUGCUUUGCAGCAAUGAGAGGAGAUGACUUGCUGUUGCAUCAGUUGUUGAGACGGGGUUUGGAUCCGAAUGAAUCCGACAACAAUGGAAGAACAGCUCUGGUAUGUGAAAUCUUCUGCUACUGAUUUUACUUUUUCUUACUACGCAAUAUUCUGAAUAUGAUUUUCUAACAUUAGCUUUCACAUUUACUGUGUAAAACCAGCAUAUAGCUGCAUCCCAAGGAAGUGAGAACUGUGUGCUUCUACUAUUGGACUAUGGAGCACUUCCUAACAGUAGAGGUAAGACCAAGGGCUAUUAUAGUUAAGUUAAACCAUCAUUAUUGACUUCAUCAGUAAGAAGGUUGAUCAUAUUAUAUGCAUUUGGUUUAAUAAAUUCAUAUAUUAAACACAAGAGAUGUUAUCAAUUUAGAGAACUUUGCCUUGUAGUGAACUAGUCCAGUUUGUGGACUUGGGAUGUUGCUUGCAUCAGUUGCAUGGUUUUUUUUUUUAAGAGUCCAAUAAGAUACAUAAUUUAAAACUAUUUCAUUGGUAUGAAAUUCCAGAACAGAUUCAGUUUUUCUUAGUCAUGUUGCAGGCUUGCAGCUGUGAUUAUUCAUACAUUUCUUUUAGUGCAUUUUCUUAUUGUGUGUGGGAUCCAAGUCCCAAGUGUUGACCAUUGGGAAUUGGCCUAACUUGAUUACCUGAUUUUGUUCCCUUCUCAUACAUGACUCUAGUUUUUCUUUCCCUUAAGAGUAAGUUAGCAUAUCAUGUCUGUUGAGUGUUGACUUUCCUAAUCAGACUACCAACUAUAUCACUCAAUUAUUUGCUUCAUUAUGUUAAUUUUAUUAUAGUAUACUAGAUCAUAGUCGUCAUCAUCAUAUAUGUUAGAAAAACCAGUUGACUUGAUAACAUGAUCCAAAAACAGCUUCUUCAUGCCUUUUAAUACACAUGAGUGCGCGGGAGGCAUGCAUCUGUGCCUCACUUCUUGCUUGGUUAGUAAUAUAAAGCCUGUUUGAGUCUCCUGGGGAUCUGGCAUGGUUAUCUCAUCCCAGUUUAUUUAGUAUUAUCUUAAGAUGGAAUCCCCCGUCCUCUAUAUUUUAUCACAACAUGCAAGCAAGAUUGCAAGGAUGAAAGAUACAUCUUCAUAGGGAAAGCUUUCAUGUUACUUCUUGAUUGUGAUUCAAUCUCGUGGUUGUGCAAAUAGAUCUUUGUGUAAGAACUAAGCUUUGUGACAUGAUUUUCCUACACUGCCGACUUAUAAGUUGUUAAUUCGUAUUGUUUAGGGUGAAAUAAGUCGAUGCAUAAUGCCUUCUGUUGUUGAAAGAGUUGCUUAUCUAUGUUGACCACAUGAAAUCGAUUGCAAUGCUAACAUGAACUGAUGAACAUGUAAUGUUUCCACUUGCUGGAGAUUGAACAAAGAACUUAACUGUGUUCUAUGAUUUACAGACUCGGAGGGAAAUGUACCACUGUGGGAGGCGAUACAGAAGGAUCAUGAAACGAUUGCGAAAUUGCUCGUAGACAAUGGUGCAACUUUGAAUGCUGGGGAUGUUGGUCAUUUCGCUUGCAUUGCUACUGAGGAAAACAGGUUGGACUUGCUCAAAGAAAUAGUUCGACAUGGAGGUGAUGUCACAACUCCUAGAGGCAAUGGAACCACGGCUCUCCAUGUCGCAGUGUCCGAAGACAACAUUGAAAUUGUGAAAUUCCUUGUGGAAAAGGGGGCUGAUAUCGACAAGCCAGACCUCCAUGGCUGGACUGCAAGAACUCUAGCUGACCAGCAAGGACAUGAAGAGAUAAAAAGCCUUUUUCAAUCGAGAAAAGAGACCAAAGAUCAAUCUGUUAUAAGCAUUCCUACUGAGCAAAAGACUGGAAUUCGCUUCCUUGGGAGAUUUACAAGUGAGCCAAACAUCCAUCCUGCCUCCCAGGAAGGCUCAUUUAUAGUACCAGAUGGGGGAUCAUUGGGUCGAAGCCGCCCAAGGCGUAGGACUAACAACUUUCAUAACUCACUUUUCGGGAUGAUGUCAGCUGCACACACAGGGGAGAAGGAUUUGUUCUUCUCUGUCAGGAAAACCACCGAAACCACUCCUAAGGGUACUGGGAAUAAUCCUAACCCUGCUAGAGUGACAAUUAGUUGCCCUGAAAAGGGUGAAGUUUCAGGGAAACUUGUAUUACUUCCUGACAGUUUUGAGGAGUUACUGGAGGUUGGUGCCAAGAAAUUUGGUCUCACUCCGGCUAAAGUUCUGUGCAAAGAUGGAGGAGCUGAAAUCGACGAUAUAGAGGUGAUUAGAGACGGUGAUCAUCUUAUUUUUGUCAGUGGCCAAGAUGAAUCAGAACCUCAAGAAUGUAAUGGAGAAGAUACUCCAACUAAAAAAGAUGUGUAGUACAUGCAUAGGAAGUCCAUAUUUGAAUCUCUCUUCCUACGCUUGGAUGUGCAAAAACCAUUCUUACAGCAAAUGUACGUAGUUUUGUCCCAAGAGAAAACUUCUUGGCGACAAUCACCCCAGUAAAGUCGUUGUACUAAUCUGAACUCUUUACCGACAACAUAUUCCACGACGGUUGUUUUAGAGGUGUCAUGGUCAGCCCAAAUGUACCAUUGCCACGGGCUUGGCAACACUGCUCAACUGAAGUUGUGUAAAGUGUAAAUAUCUCCAACUUUGUUCCUGCUACGAAAUUACAUUUCAGAUGAUACACUAUAAUGUACAACUAUGUAAAAAUUAAAGCAGUAGAACGAGCUACGCCUCAAAAUUGUACAACUAGUUUGAGGCUUGAAUAUCAUUUUCCAGAUUUUGACGAGACCAACACAAUUUACAGCCUUGCGGUUACUAUAGGACACUUCUCUCCCAAAAACGUCAUUUAUGACCACUGUUGGUCAGUUUCCUAGAGCAGGAUGACAUUUUAAUGAAUACAAGUGAGACUAUCCUUUCCCUUGUAUGCUCCUUUAUAAUGUUUUUUUUUUUUGGAGAGAUGUUCCUUUAUAAUGUUACUCUUACCAAGCAUAAGUAUACAUCAGGGAUGUCAAAUUCUGAUACAUUAAACACUCGAAAGGCAAUUUGAAACUCCUCGUCUAUCACUACAGUAACUUGAGCAUUUUCAGACGCUCUUCAUGUUCAGGAUCCAACUUUGGUGGGGUAUAACAACCAUGAAGAUCCUCCACUACGUACUCCUGCAAAACGUUGAAAUUAUAAGAACUCUUCGUUUUCUGAAUGAUACAUUAUCCAAAAUAGUUUUCAGAUUAUAAGAAUAUACUUCUAAGUUCAUGGAAAACUAAUCACUGUGUGCAACUAACCUUUGUGAGUUCCUUUUUGGUCAGGAUAUGGUAAUGUCUCUGCCAGAUUCUCUGAAUAGCCAUAGUAGCAGCCAGGAAACCAUAAGCUAUGCCAAGAAUAGCAAAGAUGACAACAAAAACAAUAACCAGGGCAAAGCAUGCCUCCAUAGACGCAGGGAAACAAUCCAAUAUUCCCCAUCCAUAACAACAGUUCUGGCAGCCAGCCAUCCGUGGGUCAUUGCUAUUGAAAGAUGAACAGUGUACUAUAAGCCCAAAAAAUCCAAGCAGCACAAAAAAGGCAAUGACACCUGGUAACAAGUGCAUAAAGCAGCAAUUCAGUACAAGUCAAUAGCUGCAAGAGAUUAAGAACAAAUGCAAAAUCAUAACCCUUCUCAUACAAAACUACUAGAAACAGAACCUUGACACUGCUGAUGAGUAAUACAGCUGACAAUUAGCUUCCACAGAUUCGAGUAUUAAUAAGGAUGAAAUGCAAAAGGAAGAGAAGUGCUUGUGCAUGAGAGGGUUUGCCAUAAGCAUUAGGUGGCAGUAGCACAAAGAAUCAUGGACAUUAAGGUCUUGAGAACACAGUUAUUGUUAAUAGUACUCAGCAAUAUCCAAAAUAUUACUUCAAACACAGGGGUUGUUGUAUGCGUAUGGAAAGAAACUAAUAUCAUGAUUGUUUCUUGUCAGAAACCCCUACUUCCCCUCAAGAUCUACCAGUCUGCCACUUAUGAUGCAGAAUAUGAAGUAUAACAAUUUCCUUUAAUAUGAUUAUUUCUGAUAAAUAAGCAUUUAGAACAUAAACAACUCAACCCUGAUUGGUUAAUUAGAUACUAGAGACUUGUGAGCUCCACAUUAUUGACACAUUUCAAUGAAGCAAGGAAAACUACACCACAUUAUUUUUAAACAACAGUUUUUAGGUGUAAGAGUUUACCUAUGCAAUAGUAAAAUGGUAUAGGGUGCUUUGACAAGAUACGAUCCCAACCAUCACUGAACGAAUUCCUGAAGCCACCAUCUUUGUCCAUCAGAUAUGCAAAGCCACCAAUUGCGGCAAUUACCUGGAAAGUAAAGAAGAAUGCUUAUCGUAAGAAUCUUGACAGUAUAUGGAAGUAAUAGAUUGAUACAAUCCAGUAUAAACCAUUUCAUGUAACAUAAUGCAAAAGACUAUCACUUACUGUUUGUACAGCCACAAAUACAAGUAUAACAUCCCUUGCCACAAAAAUUCUGAAUUUCAUUUUACGCCAAGUGUUGUCCUCAUACGAUUCAACUCGAAGAUGAAAUUGGGCUUUGCAAGUGGUGCAGUGCGAGAAAGCAAAUCCUUCCUAGAAAGAGAAAAGGCGAAGUUCCGGGGGAAUUAAGUUCAGGCAAUUACAACAUUGAAUUGCCAGUGACAAAAGAGUCACAAAAUGACAUACUCUAAAGAGAAAGGUUAUUUACCUUAACCGAGCGCCAGUGAUCAAGACAGGAUAUGUGCACAAACUGCUGGGUGCCUUUGCACAAGCACGGCGAUAUCAACUCAUCACCUGUAAAAUUACAAAGGUCGAAAGUAAGCAAUAAAACCUUUGCAUCUGCCUACGAAGCAACGAGUGCUAGAGAUACACAUAACCAUUAACCACAGUAUACAUGAAACUUCUAUUCAACCCUGAAUUCAGCUAAACUUAAUACCUACAAAGAAUCUUAUAUCCAACAAACAUAUAAAACAUAACCAGAAUCACACUCAUUUCUGCCCUUAUAUCUUCGGAUACAACACGAUGUAAUGUUUCACCAACAAAACAAACACAAUAACAGCAUGAUCAGACCAAAAUGCCACAUCUUUAAAACCCGAAAAAUUCAACCUGCAUCGGAAUCGCUUUCGAGGCAAAUGCGACAACAAGCAACAGAGGAGCCAUUCUCAAUGUCUUCAUUUCUAAUCUCACUGGAGCUCGCCGGAGCCGACGACUCGUCGUCGUCGUCGUGGCUGCUCUGUAGCAGAGGGUCCAAGUCACUAGGAUCAUUCGGUUCCCGUUCCCCUACUACUACUGGUUCCAGCUGCACUUCCCGAUUCAUUGAUCAAACCCUAAAAUAAACCCCCAAAAUCACCGAUCAAAAACCUUCAAAUUAUACAGAAAUUUCUCACAGAACAAAAUUGAAUUUGAAAAUUGAAUGAUCAAUUAAACUUGAUUUUUGUUUUAAUUUCAGAAAUUAAAAAAAGUAGUACCUGGAGUUGUGCAGAGAAACGAUGAAUGGAGAAAAUCGGAGACAGGAGAAUUGAGGAAGACGAAGAUUGAGAAAAGAGCGAUACUUCCUAUACGACGUGCCGUCCGCGCCUUUGUUAAUCAUUGGCAUAUUUUACUAUAUUGGGCAAGUAGGAUGGGCCUUAUUGUUGGAGGAUGUUGGGCCUCUCGACCCAACUCGGUCUCCUGGUAUCCCGCCAAAACUCCUACUCGAGUCAGGAAAACGACGUCUUAAGCUCAGAAUGGCCUCCAAUCCAUAAAACGAAGUUUCUCAUAGCUAUGGCCAAACCAGCUCAGUAUGCCACGUCGUUUAUAACACGUCACUAAUUAAUGAUUUCUCUAAUCGUGAUCUUGAGCAUUCUUAAUUUAGAUCGGUCACAUUCAUGAAUUACAUUCUUAAUUUAGUUUCUUACUCGAGUCAUAAUUAGUCUACCUGAAUUUGUAUCGUAAAUCUUAUCUGAAUCUAUAUCCUACAAUUUAUUCUUUAUGAUUUACUUAUGAUUCUAUGUCCUUUUCUAUAUUCUAUAUCCUAUUUAUAUAUAUUCUUUUUGAAAUUUUUGAGAAGAGAAGCUUGUCGAGGGAGAUUUCUUGAGUUGAUUGCAAGCUUAAUUAAACGAUAAUAAUAUACAGAAAAGGUUCGUUGGAUUCAAUGAAAGGUGGUGAUAUCCCAAAAGAAUUGUUAGUUGAAAUCCUUUGUCGACUGCCGAGCGCUGAAGCUGCUUGUCAAUGUAAGCUUGUUUCAAAGAGUUGGUGCACUCUCAUAUCGAAGCCUUACUUCAUUGGACGCUUUCUGUGGAUCCAAAGAGCGAGAAAAGCAAACCGCAGUGCUUGGUACUAUAAUAAACGAAUUUGGGGAUGCACUCCUUGCCACAGAACUGACAGAAGUAGUGUUCAGUGUUCACGGCCCAGGAGGCCAGGAGGGUGUGGUUUUCAAGUUUUGACAUGUUUUCCAAUAUAGGGUAGCAUAUAUAUUGAGCUCAAUAUGAUUCAAAAUAACGCUAAAACAGUGUUUUGUAUCUGCUUUUUUAUUCAUUACAGAUUGAGAAUUUAGCAUUUGAUGAAAUGAUUCCUGGCAUAUGUCUCUGCCAUCUACUCAUGCAUGCCCUUCUCCUAGUUCUAUUUCAAUUACACAUCUGCAGCUGCCCUCUAGCAUUACAGAAAUCCUCAGAUGGUUCCAGUAUUCACAAGCACAAAUUGAAGCAGGGCAAGGACGUGUUGAAUACGGCGGACCAUAUAUACUAGUCUGGGGUGACUCUGGUCCCUUUGCUAUAUGGAAUGCCUCUAAAGUCUAAAGUCAUGGCCUGAGUCUUUGGCCUUUAUGACUGCUUCCUACUACUCACUUUCAACGGACCCAUGCAUGCCUAUAAUUUCUACGUUCCCAGUUCAAUUCCAGACAUGAUUGAUUUCUCUACUGCAACAGCAUGGACGUCGACAUUGACACAGACAUUAUUGGAUAUUAAUUCGUGCCUCAUUUCAAAUCCUGGAAAUAAGCUCAUGAAAAAGCUCGAGCUCUAUAACCUUCCUAUAUAUUUUCCAAGAUGAAUAUAUAAUCUCAACCAUGUGCUGAUCAUCAUACUAAAGAAUAAUAAUCUCUCAACCAACUCGAUUAUGAUAUAUUACGCAAAUUAAUAUCGAAUUUGAAUUAUUUGUUAAUAUUAAAGAGUUUGAACAUCAACGUUUCAUGAGUUUGAAUUCUAUAUAUGAUUACCAAACAUAAGUUGACCAGAAGCUUCCAAGGAGGCUGAGGCAGUAUCCAGGUAACUUCAGUUCGUGAAGGCCUAUGAAAAGUAUAUAUCAUACAACUAGAGUGCACGCAUCUAUUUGUAUACACGAAAAUAUGAAAAUGACAUAAUCUGCUUCUUCGUUGAAGAUAAAAAUUCUCUAUCUGUAGAUUAAUAAACGUACAAGUGCCAAUUCCAAAAGCAUUUCUAGAAUGUGUAAUUACAUAUUACAUUGACAAGAAAAAAAACUAACACAUUUUCACCGCGCGCCAUGGAUCGGCUCCAGCUAGCUGUCUUCUGUUGAUGAAUAUAUGAUACACAGUCCAAACCCAAUAAAUCACACCCUGCAUACAAUACAUAUAUAUGAAAAAAUCGAAUAUUUGAUCAUAUUAGGUGAAACUCAAUGAAGGUGAGGUGAUCAAUCAAUUAAAUUAGCUUACUGUUGGAACUCAAUGUUGACGGAAGUAGCCGAUGAGUUGGCAAUAGCAGCGAAAGCCGUCUGCGACAACACCAUGGUGGUGCCGGCCGCAGAAGGCUGUGAAGUAACGCUGGCAGCAUACUCCACAAUCCUGAUCUGAAUGGUCUUGUCCGGAACACACGUCCCCGUUUGAGCUGCGCUAAUGCAUCUCACCAAGUACUGCCUCCCACAUGACGCUCCGUUGUCCCAUAUUCCAUCUCCGGCCGCCGCAAACAAGUUACUUGACGGAAACUGUGACGAGUCGCUUCCAUAACAGUCGGUGGCUAAAAGGGAACAAUAUUUGUGAUAAGGGUAAUGUCCAUAAGAACAUAAAUGGUUCACAUGAAGAUGGGUAAAGAUGUAACUUACGUAAAUAUGGGGGAGCAUACUGAGCAGCAGUGCCAACGUCGGCGUUUGAUGUUUGGAAAAGCUGUGGAAAUAAGAGCACGAGGAGUAAUGAAAGGUAAGGCAGAUAUUGUGGAUGAGUUGUGAUCAUCUUUUUCUCUGCAGAAAAGGGUGUUUGAGAUUUGGAAGAUAAGCUCUGGGAUGCAAGGAGAUUUUUGUAUUCUAUAUUAUUCCAAGUCAACGAAAAUUGGGUAUCAUUUUUAUCUAGAAUUGACGGCUAGGCCAACUCAUAACGCGGGUUCGGCAGUUAAACGUAAGCCACAUGGUAUGAACUCUAUCUAGAACUCAUCUAACACGUUUACUUUUUGUUUCUGGUGUGUCGUAGACUACUGUAAUAUUCGACUCAUAAUAGACUAAUUGUUACAUAAACGAGUAGACUAUUGUAAUGUUCGACUCACAAUAGACUAAUUGUUACAUAAACGAGUUGGUAUCCGUUACCUAAGCAAGAAAGGUCUGAAAAUCUAGAUCAGAUGAUCUAAUCAAUGAAUUGAUAACCAUUACUUAAGCAGGAAAGGUCUGAAGAUCUAGAUAAGAUGAUCUAAUUCGGUGAGGGGAUUGGAGUAUAGCUACGUCAUGCUUUGCUUCCUAUGAGGGUCACAGUUAUAUAAUUACAAUAUAAACUGCAAAAUUCAAUGAUCCUCCACCGAAUAAAUAUGACUUUUGCAGUUCAUAAUUCAAUGCCUUCUCCAUUCAUGAUCCAACUAACCAGAUCACAUUUGACAUUUUCCAAUGAUUGCGGUAUCCAGAAGUUCACCAGAGGAGGAAAGUGAAUUUGAAGCUUAAUAUGGUGUAGACAUACACAAGUCUAAACACUGAAAUUUGUACCAAAAGGAUCCCAAACAAACAAAGGAGCUUUGGUGCGUUUACAACAGUUAAAAAACGCAGAGUAAAGCAGUAAUAAGCGUCCGCGUAAGAACAUCUCACUUCCACAGCUUGCGCAGGGACAUGUUCUUCUCAGUCUCCUUCUUCAUAACCUUGGCAACUGCCAUCUCAAAGUCUUCUUGGGUUACAUGCACUCUCCUCUCCCUCAGUGCAAACAUUCCUGCUUCAGUACAUACAGCCUGCGAGAAGGAAAACAAGAUAACAUGGUUAGAUCUUAUAUGUCCAGACAAAAUACCAACUUCCUAAUGACUCCCCCAGUAAGAAGAAAACACAACAUUACCUUCAACUCAGCACCAGAUGCGCCAUUCAUUUUCUCGGCAAUCUUCUUCAGGUCUAUUCCACGCAUUAAAUUCAUUCUUCUUGAAUGGAUUUUCAGGAUGUCCCAACGAGACUCUUCGUUAGGGUUGGGAAAUUCAAUUUUCCUGUCUAUGCGUCCUGGCCUCAGCAGGGCUUGAUCCAAAAUAUCAAUACGAUUUGUAGCCAUCAAAACCUGAGAUAUAAUGGUGGUGGUUAGAAUGAAGGAUAAAAUUUAGAAAGGUGAAUGUCAUAAUUUUCGAAAGCCACAUGAUGCAUCGUGUACCUUGAUUUUGUUUGAGGCCUCAAAUCCAUCCAGUUGAUUAAGAAGCUCAAGCAUAGUCCGCUGCACCUCACUGUCACCAUUGCCACUGCCAGAUUCCAUACGAGCAGAUCCAAUACUAUCGAUUUCAUCCAUAAAGAUGAUAGAUGGAGCAUGUUCCCUGUAUGAAUGUAGAAGUAAAAAAGUGAGAAAACGGUAGAUGAUAUAAUGUGAAGAAUGUUAAGGGCUGAAGAGCAGCAAAUUAUUAAUUGAUUAAAGAUCCUAUCCACAAAUCAUCUUAAAGAAAGGUUGUUAUAUUUAUUUUAGAAUGGGUCUGAGUAAAUGGCCAUUCUUGAUUCUUCUUUGUGGGGCAGCAACGGACAUAGACGUAGAGAAACAUCCCUAAUUCUAUCCAGAUCAGCAUAGAUUGAUCAUACUAGGAGUACUAUACAAUACAAAUUGCAAUAGAAAGCUUAUUCAACAAAUUAGAGCCCCAUUAUAAAACUCUAGGAUCUACUGUAGUUCAUUUAAAAAGCAAACAGAAUUCAGAAACCAAGCAGCAUUAUUCACAUGCCAACAAUGCAAACAUAUGGAAGAGUAGGAUGAUUAACAAUAGAUCAACACAAACCUGGCCAUGACGAAAAGUUCUCUAACCAUUCGGGAACCUUCCCCAAUGUAUUUCUGAACCAACUCUGAACCAGAGACCCUGAUGAAAGUACAGUCGGUAUGAUGAGCCACAGCCCUAGCCAACAAGGUUUUUCCAGUGCCGGGGGGACCAUAAAGCAGGACUCCCUGUUGAAUCAAACAAAGAGUGCCAUAGGAUUAGUGACUACGGGUAAGCAAAUAAUAAAAAAAAACCAAUAAAUUGAAAACGUAAUUAUACCUUUGGCUGAGCUAUUCCAAGACUUUCGAACAAUUCAGGAUGUUUAAUUGGAAGUUCAAUGACCUGCAAAAAUGAACAUAUAUCAUUUAGACAAGUUGAAGAAUGUCCUGAGUAUUAUCACAUAGAGACAAGCCACACUCGACAAAUACAGCUAGCAGAGAAUCUAAAUUCAAGCCAAAUUUGAAACACGGACUGACGUUGACCAGUGAAUCUUCUUCCUCAAGAAGGAUACAAUCUUAUCACCUACUAGAAGAGCUCUUAGUUAUCUAAGUAAUGUAACAUCUAUAAGAAGAUAAGUAACAGUUGGAAUAUGAAAACAACUUAAUCCUUCUAAUAACAUAUAAACCAAAAUGCAGUUCAAAGAAAAGAAAAUAAGUCAAAGUUGAACUCUGGAAGAGAGAUGCUGUCAAGAUAUUGAUGCAUAUGGGAUUGUGGAUUAAAUGAAAAGAGGGGGGAGAAGAAUAAGAAAGAUAAAGGCAAAACUGAAAAGGGUAUGCCUGCAAGUUAUGUUUAAUCUGAUCUUUUAUAUUCAUCCAGACAAUUUUUGUAAGAAUGAAGACAUGACAAGUAAUUAGAUAUAUGAGUUUAGCUUAUACCAUGAGACCUAUACAGGUAGAUAACCGGAAAUGAAAGCCAGGUGGCAUAACAGUACAAAAGUAAUACAACAAAAACGCAAACUAAAAUAGACACAAGUAUCGUGCAAAGAAUCUAAAUUCAAGAGUAAGAAUGUGCAGAAGAAAACCUCUUUGAUUUCUUUAAUCUGCUGAUCCAGACCACCAAUCAUAUCAUAUGUAGAAUCUGGAACCUUCUCCACUUUCAUCAGAUUGACAAGAGGAUCAACUUUGCUUGGCAGUACUAAAUGAAGAACAUAGCUGUCAUUGCGGAGAGCCACACGUGUAGAUGGUGUGAUCUUUGUAAUAUCAAUGUUCUUAUCGAUAUCAACCACAUAUUUCCCUUCCGGAUGAACCUGAAAACAAAGCAGGUCAAAAAUUUGUCAGAUGUUGUUAUCGACUUGCAGACAGAAUGUUAACUAUUUCACUGUUUGUUAAAACACACAGCCACUUACCUUAACCAAAACCUUGUUCUUUCCCAUGACGUUGACAACCUCACCGACAUAGGACCCAGGCUCCUGAAGAAGCUGCAGUUCUUCCCUGAGCAUUCUCACUGUUCAAAACACAUAAACAAUCAAUCCAAUAACUCAGUUAAGUAACACACUAACAUACCAAAUUAAGCAAAAUCUAUAUAACCAAAGAUCCCAAAAGGUACAACAUCUUCUAGAAUAAUUCUAGUGCACUUGUUUACUCAUCUUGUUCACCAAGAUUUACACUUUACCCCGAAAUCAAAUAUUUGCCCUAAUUUUAUCCCAACAGAAAGCAGAAGCCAGCACCUUUUCACAUUCAAUCAACAAUUGCUAAGAACCCCAUCAAACUAUAUCAGCUAGCCCUAAACCCAAACCAAACUAAACCUAAAAUUACCCUAAAUUGAGAACCCAGUACCAAUCGGAACAAACCCUAACCAGUCCAAUUGAAAUUCCUAUAACCAAUAACCAGUUACUAGGGUUAGGGAUUCGAAAAAUUGAAUUCCCAAUUGGAAUUAGAGCCUCACCUCUGGAAUUGAGCUCGUUACGCUGAGCCUCGAGUCGAUUGAGAUUGUGGGUCUUCUGGCGGACCUGGAGCUGGAGCUCGUGAAUGUGUUGGAGGUAGUACGGCCGGAGCCCAUCGCCGAGUUUGGAGGCGGCGAGCUUGGACGAGCAGGUCUCCUCCGGCACGGCAUCGAUGGGCUUGGUCUCGGCGGCGACUGCAGCCAUCGUGAUCAAGCAAAGCCCUAAACUUUGGAAUCGGAAUUUGUGAGAUUGGCGAUUUGGGGGUGUGAGGAGUUUGAGAGAAGAGAGAUGUCGUGUGUGUCGUUUUGAGUUGGAAAACAAAGGUGAGGGGAGGUGUGUUUUAUUUAUGGGGGAGGGUUUCUUUUUGGUUAAGUUAGCUUUGUAAGGGUAGGAGAUGGAUUAGAGGAUAAUGGGCACAUAUUAGGAAUUACUGCAAAUUUUAGGAUUUCUGUUCUUUUGUUUAAAUUGAAUUGCUAUUUUCUUAAGGAAGUUGCAAACAUGGAAUCCUUGUUGUGAGAUUAGUUAUUGGGGGGACAAUAAAAAUGAUAAUAUUUCAAAGGAAAAUACUUGUGUCCGGACUAGUAUAUACGUGCGUGUCCGGACUCUCUGUUAUUUACACACUUUUGGUAAUGUAAAUCAUAAUCUUAAGUGUUCAAAAAUUUGAUUAACUAAUAAAUAUCAUCUCUGUAAAAUAUCAGUGUAAAAAAAAUCGUUUGCUUAGCCGAAUGAAUCAAAUAAAUUGACGGCUAAUCAUGAGGCUGUUAACUUUCACCAUAAGUAUUCAUUUGUUUAAUACAAUCGGGUGAGCAAACGAAUUUUGUUUACAUUAAUUUUUCACAGAGAUAAUCUUUAUUGGUUAAUCCAACUUUCGAACUGUUAAAAUUAUGAUUUACAUUGUCGAAAGUAUGUAAAUAACAGAGAAUCCGGAUGUACACGUACAUACUAGUCCACAAGUAUUUUUCUAUUUCAAAUUAGUGACACUCAAGAGACGAGGGAGAUUACUAGUUGACGAGGUUUAAGGUGAUAGUUUCAUGUGUCUCAUCUUAGAUUUCGACUAAGUUUCAUUAUUAUUCUCAAUGUUCACAGCUUUUAAAUUGCAUAUAGCUUUAAUAUGUGAAUCAUACACAUUUUCUAGUGUGUCGAUUGGUGAACAACACUCUUACAGAUUUCAUUAAAGAAUCGUUGCUCAUUUCAUUAUAGAAUAACAUGUAUCACUUCUCUUUGAAUCAUUUCGACUGUCGGCAUAAGUUUCAUUCUUUUUACAUGCUUCACAAUAAUAGUAUGAACAAGUAGACAAUUUAAGAGACCUGAACUGAAGGAGUUUGGGCUGCAUUGGACUACCUAAGAAAGCCCAUUGUUCAAUAGAAGGAAGGCCCAAGAGUGGAGCCUAUAUAAUUGAGAGCAUUGCCAAACAUGGUCUUUGCGCCUAGCCCUCUGUGUGAGUCUGUUCCUCUUUUUAACAUUUUUCUUUUAGAUUUCCAAAUUAGGUUUUCUCCUCUCUCUCUGUAAUUUCUCCUCACUAUUAGAUUUUGAUUCCACCAUUGUUGUUUUGAGGGUUAGGAGGUGUGGAUUUGUGUUUCAAACUCCUUAUUGAUAUUUCGUCUUCCCACCUGUUUCCAAAUACCGCCAAAUUUUUCUAUCUCCGCAUAAAAAAAUCCCCAAAUUGAGAAGAACAAAAGCUUUGAUUUUUAGGGCAAUCUAACACAAUUAGGGUUAGGGUUUCAAUCUCAUAAGUACAGAUCACGAAAAAGAAAGCAUCUUUUUUUAGUUUUUGUUUUUGGGCUUUCGAUUAGAUAUGGAGAAGAAGAAGGUGGCUGUGCCUCUGGUUUGCCACGGCCAUUCCCGGCCGGUGGUGGAUCUGUUUUACAGUCCGGUCACUCCCGAUGGCUUCUUCCUCAUCAGUGCCAGCAAGGGUAUGUGUUCCGAUAUCGAAAGAUUCGAUCUUUUUUCGUGUGUUUGGAUUGAAUUACAUGCUUUGGGUGGUUCUAUUUUACUCUGUACAAUGCUGCGUAUAUGUAUAUGUGUAUGAUUGGGGUUUUGUUUCGUGAUAACUUAUGUAGAUUGGUUUGAAAUCGUAAUGGAGGGAUGUUUUGACUAGUCUUUGUGAUAGUAAGUUAUGGUAGAUUAAGUAAACUUGCAAUGGGAUAUGUUCUUAGGAUAUAUAGUCCAGCUGAAAGGAAAUGUUUUGGAUCAGUGGUUUCAUGUCACGUUUAGAAACCUUAGAGCUACUAGAAGUUGAACAUUUAUUGCACUAUCAGUGUACUCAACAGUAGUGAUUUUGGGAUAUUGACGAAUAAGGUGUAUUGAGUAUAUGAGGUGUUAAGAUCAUUGUUGUGUUGUUGCUCUUUAAUGGGUUGCGAUUGGAAAUCUUCUUUAAUCUGUGUAAGUUAUUUAGAUAGCGAACUGAUAUAGAAGUUUUUGAUGCUUGUGUUGUUAGAUUCUAGUCCCAUGCUGAGAAAUGGUGAGACUGGAGAUUGGAUUGGAACCUUCGAAGGACAUAAGGGUGCAGUCUGGAGCUGCUGUUUGGAUACUAAUGCCCUAAGGGCUGCCACCGCUUCCGCAGAUUUCUCUGCGUAUGGAUUUAUCUUUUGAUUUCCCAGAUUUCUCUGCGAGUUGAAAAUGAAAACCUUAAUUCUGUUUCUUAAGUAUGUUAUUUUUGCAUGCAGUAAAGUUUGGGAUGCGUUAACAGGAGAUGUUCUACACUCUUUUGAACAUAAGCACAUUGUUCGAGCAUGUGCGUUUUCAGAGGUAAGCUCCUGUUCUUGACCUAACAGCUCUGUAGAAGUGAAAUAAACUUACAGAGUAAUCAUACAAACUGUGCUCUUUCCAUUUUCUGUAGUGUUAUCUGCUUGAAAUGUCAUGCUAAAUGUGAUAAUGUUGAAUAUUAUGUGUAAUCGACUGUGUUAAAUUCAUUUGGAGUAGCUAUCUGCCUACCUCUAAUUUGAAAAUGAUUUCCUAGUGGUUUAUGUGCUAUAUUAAGAGGGAUUCUAAUAUAGUGGUAGACUUUGAAUAUUUCUUUGGGGCUUAGUUGUUUGUUACACAUCAGCCACUAAAGUUCAUGAUAAUAUUUUGAAUCCAUCAUAGUUGGUGCAGGUUUUAAUUUCAACAGUAUAUGAGAUUUUAUGCUGGAGUUCUCCUAUAUGCCAUGCCUUUUCUUAUUUUCUUGUAUCAUAAUUCUAUUCUCUUGAUUUGGUAAUAGGAUACACACCUUUUGUUAACUGGAGGAGUAGAGAAAGUUAUCCGUAUAUACGACUUGAACAGACCAGAUGCCCCUCCAAGAGAAGUGGACAAAUCCCCUGGUUCAGUUAGAACUGCUGCAUGGCUCCACAGUGAUCAGACCAUAUUAAGUUCUUGCACUGAUAUGGGCGGUGUCAGGUAUACAUUUAUAUGAAAAUAAUUGAUGUUAUGAGGACUCAAUUGUUCUAUAUUAAGUUGCACAUAUUUCGUACUAUAAAGUGACGGGUAGUGAUUGACUGAUUGGUGAAUGUGCAGAUUGUGGGAUGUAAGAACUGGGAAAAUAGUUCAAACACUUGAUACCAAGUCAUCUGUAACAAGCUCUGAAGUCAGUCAAGAUGGUCGAUACAUCACCACUGCUGAUGGGUCUACAGUCAAGUUCUGGGAUGCAAAUUAGUAAGUUAUGAGUUAGAAUGUUCAGUAUUUUUCAGAGUUUCUGCUCAGUUAGCUUAUGCCUUUUACUUGCUUUCAGCUUUGGGUUGGUGAAGAGCUACAACAUGCCUUGCACAGUAGAAUCAGUGUCCCUGGAACCCAAGUUUGGGAAUAAGUUCAUUGCUGGUGGAGAAGACAUGUGGGUUCAUGUUUUCGAUUUCCAUACUGGUGAUGAGAUCGGUAAGUAAACUAUAACAAAAUACUUUUCUUAUUGAAUCUUCUUUGGGGUGGAUGUUGUGUGUUAAUGUCCUUGGAUUUUAUGCUGUAUUUCCAAUGCUGAAUCUUUACUCAAGCUAUUGUAUCUUGAUGCAGCCUGCAACAAGGGUCACCACGGUCCAGUGCACUGCGUUCGAUUUUCUCCAGGAGGAGAGUCCUACGCCUCUGGGUCCGAAGACGGCACCAUCCGAAUAUGGCAGACAGGCCCUUUGACUAAUGAAGAAAGUGAGGCGCAGGCAGCAAAUGGAGCUAUCGGAAAGGUGAAGCCACCCGUGGAAGAGGUCUCUCGAAAGAUUGAGGGCUUCCAAAUCUCCGACGAGGGCAAGUCCAAAGAGAAGGAAGAGGCACCGUCAGCAGCCACAGCAUCGGUGAAUGUGUGACUUUGUUCAGAGUGUCUGUCCAGAGAGUGUAUUAGCCGUUGCCCGGCACAAGUUCAGAUCUAUUCCUGGUUAAAGUACUACUUGGGUUACAUAGACAGAUGGAAACAAAUUUUUUGUACAACUUUCACUUCUGCAUUGUCGAGAUAUAUAGACUAUGUUCUUGUUACUGCUUGUUCAGACUACCUUAUAAAUGGAACUUUUCAGCUUCUUCUGGUUUAUAUUUCCUUCUAAGAAUAUGGAUCAUAACAUAUCAACAUAGCCUAAAAAUCAAUCCUUAAUUCCUAACUAGCUGACAAAGGAAGAGCAGAAUGCCAUGCUUGAAAUUAGGAUUGUAGUCUCAUUUGUGACAAUCCUAUGUGUUCAUAAUUUAAAGUUGGGCAAAUGUCAAUUUAGUACUAAUUUUAAUCAUUCAUUGUCAAAGUUGGGCAAAUGUCAAUUUAGUACUAUUCCAACGACAAUAUGUUUUAUGAGCCUAUUUGAAACCUUUUUAUGCUUAAAUAGUCAAAUUUUUAUUAAAGUCUAUUAGACUAUUUUAACAAAUUAUAUUAUUUUGAGACUAUAUUACUUCCACCGCUUAAACAUGCAUUGAGAGAAAAGACUUCACCGGAACCUCAGACUUUGGCAACUGGCCACCAGACUCCUGUCAUCGGAAUUUCUCCGGUCACCGGUAACUUGGUUACUAACCCCAGUAACUUGAUUACUGAUCCCCAAUAACUCAUAUAUUUCCCAGUCGCCGGAUUUCGGUCAUCGUAACUCGGUUACUGACCCCUAAUAAUUAGUUAGUGACGGCCUUGAACUAUUACAAUGUCACAAGUGGUUUUUUAGUAUCUUCUAAUACCUCAAUUACCAAUUAUCUUAAAAAUAAAAUCGUUUACAUCCCACCAAACUGGGAAACAUGGAAGAAGAAAUUUAUGUCCAUAGCCACUAGCUUUGUGAUAUCACACACUACAAUCACGUAUAUAUACCCACAAAAUGAGCUUCGCAUUGGGAUAUUGUCACCUACAUGUUGUGACUUGUGACUUGUGUGGAACUGUUUCGGCAUGACCACUUCCCUCUUUCAUACCCUGCCUUCUACUUUGGAUACCAUCAUAAGGCGAAACCAAAAAUUUUAAUCGAAGGGAGCUAAUGUUAGCUUGUGCUGUCAAGUUCAUCAUUUCAUAUAAAGCUUAAUUUUCUACAACCAUGACUUCGAUGACUCUAACUCUAUGAAUGUGUAGCUGUUUUAAUUUUUAUAUAUUUGUAUUUUGAAGAGAUAAUUAGCUGUUUUUGAAAGCUAUACUAUGGAGAUUGUGAGGUCGCUGCAACCAAUUUUCUGGGCAAAAGGUUCUUAAACUGCCUUUCCGCUUCAAGUCAUUUAGGCCAUUUGCUGAGGUGCACUUAUUCUAAACUAAUACUAUAUUAAUCAUUGGAGCUCAGUUUAAAUUCAUUAGAAUGUAUAUGGCUCUCUUUGUAAACCAAACAUUCACAAGUAACAAUUUUACGAUCAACAUUGUCAUGUGGUGGUUCAGGUCAAUAACAACACUGACAUGAGACUCGUACUAGAAGAUGGAUGGAUCGGCUUCAUUCUCAAUUUUCAUGCCAUAUACAUGCAAAUGCAUUUUAAGGUUGUUAGCCAUAGCUAGUACUGCACUACAAUAAUUGAUAUAGCUACCUGAUAACAGCAAAGCCACUGUGGAAUACAUCGUGUUUCCAAUUGGGUCAGAUUAUCAGUCACUACUGAACACGUUUAAUUUGCAUCUUUCGCCCAUUUCCUCACCAAUUCAGGAGACUUGACUUGUUUACAUCGUUUUGAGAAAUUAAAAUGUUUCUCACGCUCGCACAUAAAACAAGAUUCAUGUCAUAUCGAUUUACUGUAGGAGAUGAAUAUCAAAUAGUCGAUGGAUUCAUUGAACUAUUUGACGACUCGAUUUUCAUGACACAUAUAUGCAUGUGGCGGUCGCUAGUACUUGUACCUUUCUUGGUCUGGCUUAUUGAGCUCUUGUAGACAUUUUACUAUAAAUACCAAAGAAACGGAAGCAUUUCAACUCAUACUACUACCCAGCCACUUAAUCAAACCUCUCAUAUAAUUUAGCCACAUUGAACUAUGUCUCUCACCUCCGUCAUUUUAGCUUCCCAAUCCCCUCAAACCCUGAAUAAUGCCGAUACUCGACGUUCGGCUAAAUACCAUCCCAGUAUUUGGGGAGAUCGGUUUCUGUCUUAUAACAACACUAUGGUUUGUACAUCCUCGACAUUUAGCAUACAUCUGUUACAUUUUGUUAUCUGCAUGUCUGAGCCUUAUCGAUGUAUGUAUUAAUUUGUUUCUUUAACUGGCUUGUAUGUAGGAAACUAACAUGCAAGGUAAGCAACAAGUAAUCCAACAACUGAAGGAAGAAGUGAAGAGGAUGCUGAUGGCUCCGCCGGUUGAAACUGGUUUGGGAAAACUGGAGUUGAUUGAUGACAUUCAACGCUUAGGCGUGUCUUACCACUUCGAAUACGAGAUUGACCAAACUAUGCAGCAAAUUCACGAAAACCUUAAUGGCACCUAUGAUGAUGAUGACUUGCACACUUGUGCUCUUCGUUUUCGCUUGCUAAGGCAGCAUGGUUAUAAUGUUUCUUGUGGUAAUUGAGAUCUCGACAAUCCUAUUCAUUCAUUUUAUUUUGUUUUAAAUAAGGCUAAUUUUGAUGCAUUGGCAUAUGAAUAAUUAAGCAGAUAUGUUCAACAAGUUCAAAGAUUGUGAUGGGAAAUUCGACGAAUCGCUUCACCACGAUGUAGCAGGACUCCAAAGCUUGUACGAAGCCACACAUCUUAGGGUGCGAGGAGAGGAUUUUCUAGAAGAAGCACUAGCCUUCACAACCACACAUCUACAGUCGGCAGCAAAUCGUUUGAGCCCCCCGCUUUCGAAACAAGUAAGGCAUGCCUUGAAUCAGCCACUUCGGAAGGGCUUACCGAGGCUAGAAGCGAGGCACUACAUGUCUCUUCACCAGGAACUGCAUGGAUCACGUAACCAUGUUUUGCUGAGAUUUGCAAAGCUGGAUUUCAACCUGCUCCAACAAGUGCAUCAGAAAGAACUAAGUGAUAUUGCAAGGUUGAUACUAUCUGUUACCACACACAUUAGAUAGGCACCAGACAUGAAAAUUAACGUUACAUUUUUUCUCCAAUUAAUUAGAUAAAUAUGUGUGAUCAUCACUAAUUAUGUGAUUCAUCAGGUGGUGGAAGAAGUUGGACUUUGCUAGCAAGCUUCCUUUUGCAAGAGACAGAGUGAUUGAGUGCUACUUCUGGAUUUUGGGUGUCUACUUUGAACCCAAGUAUUACUUUGCUAGGAGAACCCUUACCAAAGUUAUUGCCAUGACAUCCAUUAUUGAUGACAUUUACGAUGUGUAUGGCACUCUUGAAGAACUAGAUCUCUUUACUAGAGCAAUUGAGAGGUUUGAAAUUGAUAUAUAUUUUUCUUCCCUUAUAUUAUAUUCUCAAUUUAUUCCGGACUUAAGCUUCACCACUUACCAUCGCCGUUCGUCUUCUUAUUUGCAGAUGGGACAUCUCAGCCAUGGAUGUACUGCCGGAGUAUAUGAAAUUCUGUUACGAGGCACUCUUAGAUGUUUAUGCUGAAGCAGAACAGGGGCUUGCAAGCGAGGGAAAAUCAUACCGUAUCGAUUAUGCAAAAGAAGCGGUAAUUAGUUAAUUAAGCCUCAAUUUUGCGUUUAGUAUUGUGAUUCCAAAGGUCGUUGAAGGUUAAGUAACAGUUGAUUUGCUGCAUAUAUGUCAUAGAUGAAGAGACAAGUUAGGGCAUACCAUGCUGAAGCCAAAUGGUUCCACAACAACUACACACCAACAAUGGACGAAUACAUGGAAGUAGCCCUCGUCACUUCAGCCUACUCAAUGCUAGCAACCACAUCCUUUGUUGGAAUGGGAGAUAUUGUUACUAAAGACUCUUUCGAGUGGAUCUUCAGUGACCCUAAGAUGGUAAAGGCUUCAGCAGUAGUUUGCAGACUCAUGGAUGACAUUGUAUCCCACAAGGUACUUGAAUUUGCUGCAGUAGAAAUUAUAUAUCUUAAAACACUUCCUUAGCUAAUUCUGACCUUAAUGUUCUUGGCAUGGCUAUACAGUUUGAGCAAAAGAGAGGACAUGUUGCUUCGGCCGUGGAAUGCUACAUGAUACAAUACGGUGCGACAGAAGAAGAAACCAUAAUCGAAUUUCGAAAACAAGUGAGUGAUGCAUGGAAGGACAUAAAUGAAGAGUGCCUCCACCCUACCUCUGUCAACAUGCCUCUCUUGAUGCGAGUUCUGAAUCUCACACGCGUGAUAGAUGUACUGUACAAGUCUGAAGAUGGCUACACUCAUGCUGGAACCAUACUCAAAGAUUUUGUAGCAUCUCUACUGGUAGAUCCUGUGACUGUAUAAGUGAAAACUGGGAACCUUUGUUUUAGUUCUUACAAGAUGUUUGAACUUAGUAUUGGAGUUGCAGGAGUGUAAUGUCAAAAGCAAUCCUUGUAAUCCCAACCUUUGUACGUUGGGAUCUAAUAUGUGGGUCUUAUUUUUUCAGUUGCAACUUUGAUAGUUCAUCUAAUAACGGAAAAGAAAUUCAAAGUCAUUUUGAUAAAGUAGUCUGGGGUUCACAUCCAAAACCAAUUGGCCAUGGGUGGAGUGGCCUAAACCCUUAUAAAUUCACAGGCAAGGUCCCAUAUUCCCGAUGUGGGAUUCAUAUCUCAACACAUUUUCUUUGAAUACGAACCUUUGACUUUGACAGAACAAUACGAACUCGAGCUUGUCCACGCUGAAAUCCUCCGUUGUCCACCUGCAAAACUCAAGUUAUUUUUCAUGUGUGGACUUAUUGUUGUCAGCAUGUACUUUUUCUGAGUUGGUCUUGAUUAAGUUCAUUUGGAAAUGGAAAAAUAGAAUAAGAGAUUCCGUGUAAGCAUAAGAGCUUAUGGACCACCAAAGCAUACUAGGAUAUGUAGUAAUUGGUUUUGAAUAAGAACUUAACAAGUGAGAAUAGAUAUGGAUAUGGAUCUUAGUAAAUAAACUAGACAAUAGAUCCAGCCGCGCCCUGCUGUGAUUCAAUAAUUCGAUUACUUCGGUCACUGGUUCAUAAAGAGUUCAUUCGAAAUUGUGUUUACUUUUGUUUACCUUUCCUAUACAAAUUUCAUCUACUGAUAUCCGUAGGAAAAACAGACUUGUUAGAAUCUAAAAUUAAGAUUCUCAAAAUGACUGGAGAGACUGUACCACAUGUCAAUGAAAUAAACAACUCAAAUCUCAUCAAAACCAUUUAAAUCAAGGCCAUGUUAGUCUCUUAAAAAAGAAUUUGAUCACUUGUCUUGCUAUUUGUUUAUAUGUUGAAGCAAAAUUUACGAUUAAGUUACGAAUGCUUAUCUAAGACCCUAAAACAUGGUUACUGCCAACACAAACUAACAUAUUCAAAAGAGCAUAUCAAAUGGUAGCUGCACAUUAGAAUUUGAGGGCUGAUCUACUUGUAAAUUUCAGUUCACUAAGUAUUCAAAUCCCUAGUAUUUUGGAAAAAUGCAUCUGAAAAGCCAAGAAUAAAAACCUAUCAAAAAACUUGAUAGAAGGAGAGGGCAAUGACCUCAAAAUAAGGGUAGAAUCCCACUCUCACCAUUGACUGAACUCUUGGGAUAGUAGAUUCUCACUGAGCUUUCUACUUUGUGACUGCUACUCCAUAUUCAACCUCCAUUCUGCAAAUUCAUGAGCGACUUUCAUAUGUUCUUGCUGCAGAGAAUAAUUGAGUUUAUAGUUAAAAUCAGAGUGACCAAGAAGUCGAUAAGGACAACAUAAUAAUUUUCUAAUGAAAAAAGGAUGUUUACCUUAGCAUUUUACUCUCAGAGGGAUCCUUUUCCUCCAUAAUUUGGAGAAGACCUUGCCACCAAACCAGCUCAGUUGCCAUUAGCUACAGUAACAGAAUCACAUUCCAAUGCUCCCAAUUCUAAGCAGAUGUUAAUGGAUAAAAGCAGUCGUCCACCAGCACUGACAAACAUGCAUACAAAUAGAAUAAGGGCAAGAAAAAAAAAGUCAAACAGCGAAUUCCAGCCAUCACAUUCUUAAACUCCCUUUUAACAAAAUGACCACCUUUUCCCCUCAAUCAAUACCUAAGACCAAAAUCAUGUAAUUUUCUACGGUAUGUGAUACCACCACAAAACAUAAAUCUAAAUACCUUGAUGUCAAUAUAAGCUACUGUUCAAUAAAUGAGGCUGCAGCUGCCAACCGAAAUAGAACCAACCACACAGCAAGUAGCAUACCAACAAAUACUACAAUCACAGGCACACAAAUUAAAAAUUCAUAAAACAUAAAUAUCCUUUAGGUAACCAAACAUGAAAUACAAAUGUCACAAAACAGAGAUUUAGGAUCAUUGCCAGAAACAAAAAUCAUGUAAAAAACAAUCACAGAACACAACUUGCAGACAGAAUACCAACACAUACAACAGAUGGAUCGCAUCUUUUAGGAUCCUCAACAUGUAUAACCCAAUUUAUCAUUACCCAGAAACAAAAAGCGUCACUGCACCGUACCACCACAACAGUUAAUAGCUACAAAAACCUUUAGGUUCUAAUAAGCCAAUUUUGUUCUCAAUAGACAAUUAGAACAUGACGUCGCUAUGCUUCCAUAGUUCCAAAUGCAUAAAGUAUGCCAGGAGAACAUCCCAACUUGAAUUUUGUGGCCACAAAAUUUAGCGAAGAGAAAAAACUGCUAGCUUUCUAUAUACACACACACAACAUCAGGUUAUGCAUAUAAUCGCUUGCCAAUCAAAAAUUGUAGAAGAAAUUUUGCUAAAAUUGUAAGGAGGUGUGUAUGCCUUAGUAUAAUAAGGAACCCGACACACUUGACCAUAAAGCAUAAGCUCACAUCAGAUUCCAGAAACGCAAACAAUCCAUUGACAGAACAAUUGUUAUAUAAAUGUACAAAGAUAUCACCCACUGCUGAAAAGAUAACAACUGAACUUUGGUAUUAUAUUCAAUAUUUGAAUGUACUGGCAACUUCACAUGCAUCCCAUCUCUUUUCAUUUCAUUGUUAACCUUUAAUUUCCUACAAACCAUGAAACCAUAACGAAAGCAUGGAUGGUAGCAAAAUAACUUAUUGAUGAGCACCGAAGAUCAGAUGCUCACCACGAUUUAUCUAGCUUAUCGAAGAAGUACAAACCUUCCAGAUCAGUAAUACACACAUAGAAGAAUAACUCCACAAAAUUUCAAGUCAAAACGGAUUCUUACAUCCUAAUCAAACUCGAGUUCAAAACAGCAACACUGCAUAACAUAGACACAAUUUCAGCAUAGAGCACUCAACUUCAGAAAAUCACUACAAAGCGCCUACCCUAUCAAAUAGUAUCAAACUUUCUAGAUCAAGAGUUCACAUAUGGAAGAAAAAGAGUACAAAGUUUCAGAGCAAAUGGAGUCCUAAAUCUUGAUCAAAAUCAGACUCAAAAACAGCUGCACACAUAACACGAAUACAAUUUCAAACAUGUGAACAAAGUACAAUGAAGAAAGAUGUAUACACUGUUCCUUGUCCAACCCAUUUUGCCCCGCAGCAUAAUAGGAAAGCCAUGUGCAGUACUUUUUAGUUUGGAUAAGUUUAUGCCACACAUCAUAAUCCUUUUAUUUUAAGGAUCCUCUUCAUCGAUGUAGAAUCAUGUAUCAAUUCAAUCCAAUUCGAUCAAUUCAAUCUUAUUAGUGUUUAACAUGCAUCCACAUCCACAUCAAAGCCAAAAAUUGAAACCUUGAAAUGAAUAAUGAACCCCUCCUCUUCAUUGAUGUAGAAUCGUUGAGCUUCUGAAGCUCAUAACCUGCAAAAUCACCUUGUUCUUGUUGCCAAACCCAAAUUAAUUUUCAUCAGUCCCUCUCUAUCAGUAAGACACCGUAGUGGAAAGAAAAACAGUCGCACAGUGCGACGAAAAAUAGUAUGUUAAAUCCUCAUUGGACUAAUUGGAUAUGGUCAACUUAACCUUUUGGAUCAGAAUACAAAUAGAACACAAAAACCAUGGGUCGGUGGUAUUGUAAAUUGAAAGAAAAUAGAGGGGUAUAUAAGUCAAAGUGGGGGUGAAUAAGUACCCAAUGUAUCUAACCAUCCAUCCAUCCAAACCAUUAUUUUUUCUCUCUCUAAAAAUAUCUGGUUUUCUCUCUCUAGAGAGGUCUCUGUAAAUCGUCUGAAUCAAAAAGAUCAAAUCUUUGGGUUUAGUUUUUUUUUUUUUUUUCGCGGGAAGAGAUGUCAGGUAAAGGCGCCAAGGGUUUGAUUCAUGGCAAAGGAGCCAGCAACAGCAAAGAUAAGGACAAGAAGAAACCCACCUCCCGAUCCUCACGAGCUGGCCUUCAGGUGAUUACCUUUGCUUCUUUGUUCUUGUUUUUUCUUGAUUUUGGGAUUUUAGGGUUUCGAAUUUGAUUGUUGAGGUUGAGUUUGGGGGGUUUAAUUUGGUAAAGAUUGGAACUUUUUUUGGUUUUGGUAUUGGGUUUUGGUUUGUUUUGGUGAUGAGAAAGCGAAUUAGAAUACCCACAUGGGUUUGGGAACUUAAAAGAUUUAGUUUUUACGGAUGAAUAAUAGUUGUUGAAUUGAGAGUUGAUUUGGAUCGUUUUGGAAGGGCAUGAUUUUGUGUUUUUUCCUUAAACCAUGUUUGUUAGGAGAACCAUAAUCCGAUUGAAGAGUUUGAACUUGAUAGAGAUUUGAUAGAUAGAUACAUUGGAGGGGUGAAUUUUGAAGUUUGAAGUGUCUCGCUCCUCUGGAACAUGCUCUAUUCUAGAUUGUUGUUUACAUUAUGAAUUUUCAGGGUAUAACUGUUUCGAUAAGAUUGUGGAUGUCUAGAAGACUAGAAUAGACUAUGCUUGCUCUAUGUGUCUUGGUAAACAUGAUUGAGUCUUCCUACUCAUAGUAAACAGUUUAAAGUUUCUAAAAGUCCUACCUGAAUCUGUUAGAGAAGUACCAGCUAUACAAUAGAAAUAAUUUCGGUAUAUGAUGUUGAUUACAUAAGUUGUUGGAAUGAUGAUAAACCUACUUAUUUAUAUGAUGUUAGAGACGGAGGAUCCUAAUUAGAUACCUGCAAUCUCCCAAUUAUUAACUUUCAUGAAUAGACUCUCUAGUGGUGAGGGAACGAAGGGUUUGAAUGUAAGAAAGUAGAAACUUCUUAAGACUUUCAUUUAAAAACAUAGCUUCAGCCGUAUGUUAUGAACUUCCAAAGUGUUUCUCUGUCUCACUUUUUGUCCAUUAUUUUCAAGUCAGUUUAUGGACUAUACUAGAGUUGUUGAAUUUCUGCCAUCUACUAAUUCUGUGGUGACAAAUUUCUAGUUCCCGGUGGGUCGUAUCCACCGUCUCCUGAAGCAAAGGACCACAGCUAAUGGGAGAGUGGGAGCGACUGCUGCAGUUUAUUCUGCAGCUAUCUUGGAGUAUCUAACUGCUGAAGUUUUAGAGUUGGCAGGCAAUGCCAGCAAAGAUCUGAAGGUGAAGCGUAUCACUCCCAGGCAUUUGCAGCUUGCAAUCCGUGGUGACGAAGAACUUGAUACUCUGAUAAAAGGUACCAUUGCUGGUGGAGGUGUCAUCCCUCACAUUCACAAGUCACUUAUCAACAAGUCCACCAAGGAGUAAUGAUGAGGGCCAAAAUUCUAUGAGGAGACUCUCCUUUGUGACUUAGGAUCAUGUGUUUUAGUAAUUCGUUAUUUUGCUAGUUAAUUUUCAUGUCUGAUAGUAUUUGUAAUGGAUAAUGGGAUCAGAAACUCUUCUUUUUUAUUAUUAAUCUAGGCUUACUCUAGGAACCCUGUCAUAAUGUCGUAUUGCAUCCCUGGUAUUAAAGGCGUGUUUGAGCUACAAUUGUUGUUUUUCUACCAUUCUAUUUUACAUGAAUUCAGUUGAUGAUGGCAUAACUGCUCUCAAUCGAAGAUGCGGUUCUUUUUAUGCUGCAAGGUGAAAGGUCUAUCUUCAUGUUAUUGACAUAUGUUUACUCGAGUAGUUUCCAUGAAUCAUCAACAGCAGUCAUUUGUGAAAGAAGAUGGGAACAGGUUUUAGUUCCAACAACCUAUUAAAGAUCUGAAAGGCGCGAAUUCAAUUGAAUACUCAUAAAUCCAUGUCCUUCUCAAUAUUCACUGCACAUUCCUCUUAAUCAAUACAGAUAAACAACCAUUAGCAUUAGUAAAUAAGUGAAAAAUUUCCUGCACUCCAACCUAAAACCACCAAAUAAUCUGCGCUAGAAGCAAUGAAAGUCCUUCCUAGAACCUUAAACAUGGAAAAGAACGAAAACCAAUUCUAAACUUCUCAUUAAGAAAAAAUAUCUAGCAAAAGCCACCAAAAUGGUAGUGGCGUAAGAAUGGGGACGACCAACUUAGAAAUUUAGAAGGUUGUCACUCUUGGAACAUCAACUGGGAACUGAUCAAUUUCAGCCAUCCACGGGCUCUUUUCCUUGGCAGGAUCUAUAGUCUUGAGAGCUUUCCACACAGCACUGUUACACUUGAAUCCCGACCCGAAAGCUAUCUGCCAUGUUCUAUCUCCUUUCUUAAUCCUUCCCUUUGCUUCUGUGUAAGCUAACUCAUACCAGAGAGAACUGCUUGAGGUGUUUCCAAAUCGGUAUAGUGUCAUCCUUGAUGGCUCCAUAUGCCAAUCAGACAGAUGCAGGUUCUUCUCCAAUUCAUCCAAGACGGCUCUUCCCCCAGCAUGAAUGCAGAAAUGGUCAAAAGCAAGUCUGAAAUCUGGGAUGUAAGGUUUGAUCUUCAUCUUGAACAGUUUCCUACCCACCAAUGUAGCAAAGAAAAGCAGCUGCUCGGACAUUGGAAGAACAAGAGGCCCCAGUGUGGUGAUAUUGGUCUUCAAAGCAUCACCUGCUACAGCCAUCAGGUCCUUCGAUAGUGUGACACCAAUAUGCCCAGCAUCAUCUUCUUCUUGAGUAACACAGCUAAAGCACUUGUCAUCAGCACCCUUGUGCGUGCGGACAGUAUGGACUAAUUGGUACUUGGACCUCCUUCUGUCUGAGUUUUUGUUUGAAAGAAGUAUAGCAGCCCCUCCCAUCCGGAAUAAGCAAUUUGAAACAAGCUUUGAACGAUCAUUGCCAAAGUACCAGUUCAAUGUAAUGUUCUCCAUGCUGAUAACCAGCGCAUAAGAGUUAGGAUGCACCUGAAGAAGCUUUUGAGCAAGAUCAAUUGAGAUGAGCCCCGCGCUACAUCCCAUUCCACCAAGAUUGUAGCUGACUAUAUUCCCUCGAAGCUGGUAAUGAUUGAUAACCAUGGCAGAAAGAGAUGGAGUUGGAUUGAACAAGCUGCAGUUGACAAUCAAGAUUCCGAUGUCCUUGGGUUUUACAGAUGUCUUGGCAAAUAGCUCGUCAAUGGCACCAUACAUCACUGCCUCAGCUUCUUUCCUGGCUUCUUUCAUUGACGGAUUUGGGGGAAUGUUAAGUACAGCCUCUGGAAGGUAUGUUGAAUCACCAAGGCCGGAUCUCUCAAGGAUCCUUCUCUGGAACUGUAGAUUCUCUUCUGUGAAUGUACCAGUCAUCGUAGACUGAUCCAUGAAAAUCUUUUUCGUGCAUUUUCGAGUUUCUUCUGGCUUGUAACAAGAAAAGUUAACAAGGUACACAGGGCGAGGGCGGGUAAGAAAGUAUACAGUGGAUAGGAACACCAGGAGGGUCGAGCAGAUGAUCACCGAAAUCAGGUUGUAUUGGAGAUGCUCCCAUAGAUCAUAUAGAUCUUGGAGCGAAAAUGUGGAGAGCUGGGCAGCAAUAACAAUGACAAGAGGGGAAAGGAAAAGGUACAUUCCAUGGGUGAUGAGAAUAUGGUAACCAAGCUUCACAUAUUUUAGCUUAAUGGAUUUUUUGAAGUCGGGGAGGUUCCUAUUGUUUGAGGGUCUAGAUGAUGGUGGGAUCAAUGGUGUAUCUGGUUUUGGUUCCGCCAUAUUUCCCUGAUAAACAUACAACACCUCUAAUCAGAUCAAAUGCACAACAAAAUCAUAAACCAAUGUAUUAAUAGAAAAUUAUAAUCACAGAAGAUGAACUACCAGAGACUAAAAAUUAAAUUAGUAAAGGGUGGUUUUCCAGAACAUAAAGGCAAAUUCCAAUAGCUUUUCAAUUGGCAUCCAACCAGAAAUGACUCUUGGAAAGCCAAUGGAGCUUUUCAAAAAAGAAGGUUGUCUAUUAUUUACAGCUACAUAUCACACUGAGAUAAUGAAAAGGCAGAAAGAACACCUAAUGGUCCCAAUCCAAGCACCAAUUCAAAAAUGGUGGAACAGAACAAAAGCUACACACUUUGAUCCUUACAAGUUGGAGCCAAAGUGCUAAACACAAUCCAAACACAACCCCAGAUCAGAUUUUUCCAAUAAAGAACACUUCUUUCCAAACAAAUCAGCAGAUUAACAAACAAUGUUACACAACCCUUAUAAACACUCACACAAAGAACCAAACUUUAUCACAGAAACCAUACAAAUUCACACAUCCAAGAACAGAUCAAACCUCCCAAGAUACAAAACAGAACGUUAUAGAAAAAAGCUGCAAGCUUUGAUAAUGAGGCAAAACCCAGAUCGAAGACUGACCUUGGUUGCCGAAACCCACCACCAGAUCUCACAGGAAUGUCGUCGUCGCCAGCCAAAGACAACCGGAGAGAAACAGGGCAAAAGGGAAUAUGGGAGAGGUUCAAAGUUUGAAGUGAGAUUAUAUUAGAGCUAAAAAUAGGGANNNNNNNNNNNNNNNNNNNNGGCAAAUGCAUUUGCAAUUUUGGGUUUUAGAUAUUUUCUUUCUUCUAUUUUGUGUGUGUUUUCAUUGCUUUUUUCUCAUUUAAGAGGUUGAGAAUAAAGAUGUAGGAAAUCAUUCUAGUGAAGACCCUUAAGUUGAGGAUUUGGUGAGGGCUUUUCGGUUUAUGGUUUAAAAUACCCAAUUUUCGAUCACAUGUUGACAUCUUAUCUGUUCAGUUUUUAGGUUUAUAUGAGUAGAUCAUUUCUACAAAUUUUCACCCAAAUUGGUGUUCAUUAAGAUAACAAACUAGAUCAAAUUAAUGGACGAACCAAAUCUGCCAAAUAUGAACCGUUCAAGUUCAUAAUUGAUAAAUCACACUUAUGAAUGUCUUAACAAUUUUCAAUAUAGCUGAAAAUUUGAAGAAAUGAUAUACUCAUAAAUACCUAUAAACUGAACGGUCAAUAUGUAGAUAUAAGAUCGAAAUGUGGGAUAAACCGAAAAGUCUUUACCAAGUCCUCAACUUAAGGGUCCUCACUAGAAGGGCUCCCUAAAGAUGUAUACCAAAAAGAUAUCAACUUCCAAGUCUGUGUACAUGAAUCAUGUGCCAAUAUUUGUGUGAUAUACAUCUUAUCGGGUUGCAUUAGCUUUCAAGGUCUCUAUGGAUUGUGAAUCGAAAUUUACUCUUAUACAGUUAGUUGUUAGAGUUUAUUGUCUCAUGAAAAUUGUAGCGUUCGAAAAGAUACCAUAAUUUCAUGUCUAGACCCGUUUGGAGAUUUACUACUAUGAAACUCGCAUUCAUCCAAAGUACAGAAAACUAAAAUUUAGAAAGAAAAAAAAAACACCCUCUAGCCUCUGGUUUAUAUGUGGAAAUAAUACCUCCAAUAUUCUUCCCUUUAAUUUUGCUUUUCAAAAUCAAGGUGACAAUACAAAUGGCAUGAUGAUUGGAAAAGAAAAUGUCAAAUUAUUCCCUCUUUGAAUAUGACAAGUGAGAUUGAAGAAGAGUAUAGUGAAAUACAACAAAAUCGAGCCGCCCAUUACAGUUAAGGAGCCGUCAAGAACAAAGCCAGAAGGCUUAUAUUAUAUUUGACUGGUAUACAAUUCAGUGAAUUGGUAAUGUUGUAUAGGGCAGGCAAUUUGAGGAGGGACCAAGCACGAGGUUGAUGACCAGUUGUUCACAUGGAUAUAAAGGUUACAACUCUGUCACUGUCCCUAUUGUCAGCUGCGCUGGCUCCACAUGCUAUGCUGUUCUUCAACUCAAUCCAUGAGCUAUAUCAUCUUCUAAUAACAGAAACAACAAACCAACUUCAACAAUGAAGAAAUUUCCAAGUCUGUCUGUUUAGCAAGAUUUGACAAACUGUUUUAUGAGGAAAUGGUGAGGGUGAGAUGGAAUCUGGGAGAGUUGAAAAGGAAAUGUUGCCAACAAAUUUAUCUUGUGGGGUUAAGUUGGCAUCAACCAUCAAGCAUAAUUCCACCUUUGAUCAAACUUGGUUAAAGAAAAGCAAACUCUAAUACAGGAAAAGAAAUCUUACAGUAGUAACUUGCUGUUGGAGAACAAUGAUAUGAGGGAAAGUUAGUUGAACAAUAGGCAAUGUUGAACAUGCUACUCCAAUGUGAAUUCCUCCAGCCAUAUCAGCACUUCAUUUCUCUAAAAUGCAGUCAGCACCAAAACAACACAAAAGAUCAACCGUUAGAGUGAAGAAAGCAAAAUUCGGUAGGAUUUGGCAAAAAGAGGACUAACAGUACAAAUAAAAGCUUAAUGAUCAAGAUUACUUGCUACUGGUUUUGCUUUGUCUAGAAGGCAGUAGAAGUAACAGCUACCAAGACUACUACAACUAGGGCUAGUAAUCAGGCCAAAGUCGAGUUCAACUUUUCUUGAAAGAGGGUUGCUUGCAGUACUCAUAGACCUUCAAUAUGUGAAAGGGUAGAUAUAUAUCUUGUAACUUAUUAGAUGAAGUUUCAACAGUUGAAAUUUUCUUAGUUGAGGUUUUCUUGAAAACAGGUUUUCUUGCAGUUAUUCCAGAGCUUCAAUGUCAAAGGUAGCUAGAUAUCUUCCAACUUCUUGGAUGAAGUUCCUAUAGUUGGAAUUUUCUUUGGUGAAGAAUUUUCCAUCUUGAAGUUUUCUUUGAUGAAGUUUUCUCCAUAUAUCAUAUAAAAUUAGAGAUAUAUAAGAACACAUUAUCAGACUGGUCACUGAUGUUACAUACCAUUAUAAAGCUCCAAGUUCGGCCAGGGUCAUUGUAACGAGCAAGCAUACACCCGGCCUUAGGUUUGAGACCAUCUCUGAUAAGACUAGCACGCAGCAAAUUCUCCUUUUCACGAACAACAUCUUCGGUAGGCUUCCCACUAAACUUGAUAACAGCAGCAAUGCCUUCUUCCAUUUUUUUCAAGCUAAUUGUUUCUGCAUUAGGAUCUGGUAAACUGGCCACAUCACAUUUUUCUUAUUAAUAUAUAACUCUUCACAAGGACAAAUGUAAGUACGAUAUAUAUCUAACAUCUAUUAAUUCUCCACCUGCUUAAAUCCUUGUCAAGUGGAAGACAUACUUUGAUGGAUACUUUGGAAAAUUCAGCAUCAGAUGCCUCAGUGAACACCGGAGUUGUCAUUGGUAUCUUUUCCAUUUUUGAGUUCUUUCCAAAGAUGUACCUAAGCAAAUCCCAUUUCCAUAUCACAAAAAGAAACAAAAUUUUUUUUUUUUAAAGAAAAUAUAUUUAUAGCACAUGAUUAGCUAAGCUGUAAUGCAAGCACUCACCCAGUAACAUCAUUGAAACCAGCUGAUCCAGACAGCUUGUCUGCACUUCCUUCUACCACUAUAAAAGGGGAGUACUUUCUUACCUGUAGAAUCAAUCCAGGAAUCACCAACAAAACAGUAAAACCAUCCAAUCAAAUAGAGUUACAGAAGAAAACAAAAACCUUCAAAUGUAAUGCAUUUCAUUCAUGAUUCAUCAACUUUAGAGAAUGAAGUCUAAAAGCCCAACUUUUAAUGAAUGCAACAUUAGCCAUUCACUAAGGAGAACACACCUCAUAAUUUGCUGUUCUCUUUAGUAUGUCAUAUUUUGGUGUUUCCAAGUCUGGAGUUUUGUAAAUCCUCAGCUGCAGGGUUUUACAUACAAGAAGAGACUAAGGCAAGAAAGAAUCUUUAUACAUGAUAAUGGAAAGUGUAUAAUGAGUCUGCCAAUACCUGCUUGAAUACAUCUAACAAACCUUCUACAGAAAAAUAGUCAUUCUUCUUAAUGGAAUCCCAGAAGUCCUACAUGUACAUUACAGCAGAUACAUGAACAAUUUUAGAAAUUACGCUGUAUCAUCUACAUUGUACUAUAAAGAGUCAUGAGGUGAAUGAUUGUUACCACAUGGCUGCAGAACUUCCCAGUUUCGGGGUUGAUUCCCAUAACAGAAGUACCAGUGAAGAUCAAUUCUGGUUUCCAAGGCAGAGGGACGAACUUCAUAACCAUAGUCCACCUUGUAGUGAUUUCAUAUGGUCCUGACUAUAUAGCAUCUUAAUCAGUAACUUAAGACAGUCCCACUCCAAUUUCAAGUGGACAUCCACAUGAAUAUGCACAGAUUGAAAACUUUAAACUAAAAGUUUGAGUCUGCACUCAAAUUUUAUUUCCUCAUAUUCAACAUAGUCACAUUAACCUCAUCCAACAUAUAUAUGCAGCUAUGCAUCAUCCAAAAUUCUAAGUUACAUAAUUUCAUUCUAUGAAAAUCAUUGAACUGCACCCAGUUAAAUUCUUAUAUUUAAUUACUCAAUGCCUAAAAUUCCCAAUAUUCUAGUAGUUAAUCUAAUAAGGGAAAGAACACAGGUCCUUUAAACAGUUACCUGUUUUACCCAGUGCAACUGGAACUUGGGAGUGAAGACUGUCUUCAAGAAGGCAAUGUUCAACAAAUAGCCAGUUAUAGAAUCAUGCUUGGUGAUUGGAUCCCUGAACUUCACACGUUCAUCAUACGCCGUCCGAUCAAUUCCUUGAUCAUCAAACAAGUGAACUAAAUCCUGGUACAGAAAAUCGACCACCCUUUCCAUGUCGACGGUUGAUUUUGGCGGGCUUUGGUCUACUAAGCUAAGUCUAACAGCCCACUUUGAGUAGUUUUGCCUUGUUUGAAGCCCCAAGUGUUUGUGUUUCAAGGCUUUGGAACGUGGAUGGCAUGGUAGUUUAUUCGCUUUGGUGGUGCUCAGCCGCCGUAAACUGACGCACACGGCGGGGAUAGGCCUGAAAACUUGGUCGGAAAGCUGUGUGCUAGCCAUUUGGUGGUUGUGGUGGGCGUGUGACUGUGUUGGCUUGGUGCGUGACCAUGCAUUGCUACUAUGAAACAACUUAGCCACAAGUAUUGAUUGGUUGGUGUUCGUUUCUGAAAUUAGUGGCUACAAUUUCUUCAUGUAAACAUAAUUGAAUAGUAGAACUCGUCGUUUGUAAAUACCUUAUGAAAAUGAUAAGGAGAAACACUAGUAUCAUUGUCCUGCAGAUAUGACUUUAAGCUAAAUUCUCCAUUCUAUGGUAGACUAGCACAGUAUUGCAGCACAAUUUCACACUCUCAGUACAAGACUUUACUGAUGAGAAACCCCUCUGUAUAUUUGGCCAUCCAUGAACUUCAAUAUCAUAACUAAUCCAAAACAUAAACACCAAAUAAGUGACCAUUUCCCAUCUCCUAAAUCACACAUUGUGCAGGAGAAAGAUGAAAUGAAGGGCAAGAUUCCUCCUGCCGUAAAUAAGUUGGAUAAGUGAGGGCAUCAAGGACUUUUUCAUUUGCUAAGAAAUUAAAAUGUAGCUGGCUUAGUAUAGAACCCUCUUGUUUCCCAGGGUUCUGACAGGAAUCACAGGAUUAAAUGGCAACAGCCCUCCCUCAGUCUCCCACUCUCAAGACUCCUCUUUCAGGAUGUGUGACGACGAGUGCUAUGAAGGUAAGUCUCUCUUGACCUCUGCAUCCACCUCUAAGCUUGGUUUGUCCAUUUCUAAUGUCAUCACAAAAUGGCUCGAAUCCCUACCCGAAGAAAUCAUACCCAACAUCCUAAUCACACUACCUGUCAAAUCCCUCAUCAGAUUCACCUCUGUCUGUAAAUCUUGGGAGUCCACCAUCAAAAACCCAAAAUUUAUCCACACCCACCUCACCCACACUCUCAAUUCCAAUGACCAAAACGACACCCACCUCAUUCUCUUCCACGAUGUUCAUAGUAAACAUUUCUGUCACUAUCCUAAGUACAAGAAGCCUCUUUCUCUCUGCAUUAUGAUUACACUGCUGCUGUUACUGAGUAUUGCAAGAUUGAGUUUCCAGUAGCUAUCAAGGAAGCAGUCAUGAAUGCUUUUCGUGUUGUGGGUACUUGUAAUGGGCUGGUUUUGCUGGCUGAUGAUUUGGAGGAUUACGGUUACACCUUUGUUGUAUGGAACCCUAGUAUAAGAAGGUAUGUGACCCUUCCCAAGUCCACUAUGAGGUUUUCGAGGCAAGGUACGUAUGUUGGUCCGGUUGGUCUGGGUUAUGAUGCUGUUGGUAAUGACUAUAAGGUUGUGAGACUUACCACCCUUUUUAAGAAAGAGAAUCCUUGUCGGCCUGAUAUUUGGCCCACUUCAGUUGAGGUUUAUUCACUCGCCAAGGGCAUUUGGAGCACGGUCAGUCCUCCUCAAUGUAUUGUUCUUCAUUACUCCGCUGCUCAGGUUUUCGUCAAUGGGGCACUUCACUGGAUGGCUAAGCAUUGCCAUUGGAUAGAUGAGAUGGUACAUAUAGACUCUUUCAUUUUGACAUUUGAUGUGGCUGCUGAGUCAUUUGGAGAGAUAAUGUUGCCCAAGGGCUUCGAAUCAGAGGAGGCACAGUUGUCUACGUUGUCUGAUUCUGGAGAUAGAAAUUCUAUUGCUCUGUUUGUGAGGAAUGAGGUUCCGGGUGCUUUUGGUCUUGAAUAUUGGGUAAUGAAAGAGUACAGUGAGGAGAAAUCAUGGACAAAGUUGAUGGUUUUUGGUCCACAUGAUCGGUGGAUAAAUGUACCCAGGGUAUUGUGUUUUAGGAGGAGUGGUGAAGUGAUGUUGUUACUUAAGGAUGGCCAUACAGUUUCACUUGACAUUGUGAGCGAAGAAUUUAAACAUCUAGGGAUGUAUGGAGGGGACCUUAGCUCUGUUCACUCUUAUGAAGAGAGCCUUGUCUUGCUUGAAAGGAAAGAUGUUGUUUCUUACUGAGGCAAUGAACCAAGUAAGGUGAUUAUUUCUUGAACUUACCUUUGCUGAUAGCUUCUAAUUUUAAUGCAUAUGCUGCUAAUUGUAUAUGAUCUAUGACGAUUGGAUUUUACCUCAGCCACAAAGUUUGAUAUUGUGUAUGCUGAUUGCUUUGAUUGCUCUGUGCGUCAUGUAUUAUAUUUUUUCUUUGCCACAAGUUUGUUGUUCGUGUCUUUCUGGUGUUUCGUUAGGAACUUGCUAUAAUAUUGUUUUAAAUGUUUUCCUGUCUUAGCUAAUUGUCUUUCUUGUUCUGUCGUUUUGAGAACAGAGACUAGUAACCAAGUUGAUUAGAAAUCAAGCAAACCAACUUCAGAACAAUUCGCUGUACUUUAUGUUUGGAAAACAAGACUUAAAUGAGUAACUACUCAUAUCAUAUCAUUGCUUUCUCCGUGUUUUCUAUAAUAUCUGUUUGGUAUUACCUUAGACAGUAGAGUGUGGUCUCCAAGGAACUGUUGAGGCUACUGCAUUGUAUUUGAAAUUACAUGUUUUUAUUUGCUGUUGUUAACUGACCAUAUUAUCUCUGUCGAUGAUGUGUACUUGUCACUUUGAAUCGUUCCCAACCAACCAUAUUAUCUGGUCGAUUGAUUUGUUAGUUUUUGAUGACUACUUGUUACUUUUAAUAUGAAUAUGGCACAAAUCAUGCUAUUUGAUUUUCUAUUUGCAUAGGCAGCAUCAUAUGAAAGCUGAUGAAAUGUGGGAUACCAAAAUUAAGACCGAGUAAUAGUUGCAACUUUCUACUCUAAUUUCUGUAGAUUUUCUUUGUUUAUCAAUAUUUGGAUUGAAUUUCCAUGGCAUUAUCUUUUUCUUUUCUGGGUUGAAUUACCUCCGUUUUACAUUACAUGCCUUGGCAAUCUUGAGCUGAUUAUCAUCCUACAUCUCUGUCAUCAACUGUGAACCACAUACUUUCCCUUCACUUCACUCUCUAGUCUCUAUGUUGUGUUAAUACAAAUAUCUGAACAAAGCGUUGAAAAGUGUUCUACUACCACUUCCGGUGCGUUCAUGCAGCAUCCCUUUUGGGACUCCAUAGCAUUUGGGACUCCAUUUGUAUAAUAUAACUUGCUGAAGCAUUUAUUCAAUUGUGUGCAGGUCAGACAUUGGGACACAUGACUUUCAAGACUGUUUUUUGUAGCUGUGAAGUGUGAGAAUCUGAUGCAUGGGUUUGCAAUUUCAGUCACUCCAUCUACCGACUGAACUUUUGAAGUGCAUCUAUAUAGGAUAUGUAGUCCCAUCUAGUAUGGGUAUGUAAUCCUAACAUGACUCGCUUCUAAUUUGGAUCUUCCAUCAGACUUAUCAGUAGUUAUUAGUAUUCUCGUGUGUAACAAUAUUUCAACUGAAUAGAUUACCCUCUAUCUUAAUCGUUUACGCGAUCUCUUGUGGUUUUUCUUAACCGCAUCCAAAGCUUGAUGCUUACAAGCUUUGGAAUAUGGAGAAUGGCCUAAAUUUGCCUUUGCUACUUGUGAAUUCUUUCAUGCUUGUGUCUUUGCUAUUCCACAUUCUAUUGAAAGAUCCUUUAGACAUUGAGAACAGGUCAACUUGCGGAACAUGAUUCACCUUCGAUUAAUCAGGGAUGACACUAAGAAAUUGAUACUAGGAGAGAAAUUUGACAUAUGCUAAGUAUCAGAAGUCUCUCAAUAUACCCUGAAUUGAUUCCCUCAAAGAUUGAUGUGAAAUUGAAAGAAAGAACCAGUAUCAUACUCACUUCAAGCUAAUUUCUCCAAUCUAUGCUAGACUAGCACAUUCUUGCAGCACAAUUCCACACUCUAGCACACGACUUCACUGAUGAGAAACGCGCCAAGCAUAUCAUCAUUCCCCUAUAUACACACUUCAAUAUCCCAACAAGGCUGUUGUAUUGCCAAGUUGGGCUCUUUCAUUACGGACUUUGGUGGUGGUUCAACGGGGCCGUGACUGGAGUAAAGCCCAUAUGCAUUGCAAAUUGCUUUUCGGCUAUGAGACAUCUUACCCACAAGUUGAUUGGUUGGUGUUCAUUUCUGUUUACAUCCUUAAAUAUAUUAUGCAAAACUAUUAAGAUAAAGAUUUUAAACUAAAUAUUUCAAUACUAACCUCACAAUCAAGAAUUUUUGUGAAAAUAUAAUAUUAAACUAAAAUCAAUAAAAUCCAAACAACAACAAUUCUCUACAUCUUUACAUCAAAAAAAAAAAAACAAUUCUCUACAUCUUUUAAAUCAGAUUUGAGAAUAUACAAUGUGGUGGGAUUGUUCGUUCUUAUUUUUAUUUUAUUUAUGGCUUCAAAUGUAGUCUUUCAUAUAUAUAAUCGUAAAGAAGGAAGUCAAUAAAGAGAUCAAGGAGAAUAUAUAUAGGAUGUGGUUUGUGAAUAAAUAGAGGUAUGCGUUAAAUAUAUUGAUGAUAUAUUUUUAUAUUUUAUCAGAUUGAGGAAAAUAAAAUAAAGAAAAUAAAAACCAGAUUUUCUCUCAUAAUUUUGAGGGCAGAAUUAGAACGUUAAAGAUAAAAAAUAAGACGUGGGGUGAACUAAGCAUUUAGUGGGGUGGAAAUAGCCGCACCCUAAAAUAUUUGUAAAAAAUGUUCUAAAAGGUGCUAAAAACCAAGAAUAAGAAAACUCAUUAUUUGUAAAUUAAAGUGCAUAUCUUAAAUCAUUUUUGUCUAAGUAAAAGCAGGCAUGAAUCGAGAAUCUUAAACCACAAUAAUAUCAUACAACAAUUCUCAAAUAGAAAGAUCAUAGCCCCAUAAAUUACAAAAUUUGCUCACUCAUAUCCACCACUAAAGUAAUAUAUGUACAUUGCAUUUGUGUAGAGAACUACUAUAAAUUUAGGAAAAUUCAUACCUGUCCAAACUUUUUGACUGUUAUAUGUACACGUUUGUAAAACAUUGCCAUAUAAAGUGAACGUUGGACAUGCAUUAGAAAAACACAUUCUUCCACACUCUUGACACAAGUCGUCACUGACGAGAAACGCGCCAAGAAGCAUCAUCCCUCUAUAUAUAUGCCCAUCCAUGAACUUCAAUUCCAUAACCAAUCCAAAGCAUACACACCAAAGCUCCCAUUUCCCUCAUCUCCUAAUUCAGACUCUUCAUUUCAUAAGAAAACCCAUCAUCCAAAACCUCCAAAUCAACAGUCCAAACUAGAAGGAUGUCGAAAAUGUUUGCCCUUUCAAAGUUCGAGACUGCCUCAAUAUCAUGGUGGAAGAAGCAUGGAGAUGGAGACGACGACGGUGAUGAUGGAUACGACUAUGCCCCAGCGGCAUCAGCAUGCAUGGAAGGCGACAGCGAUGACGACGAUUCCGACUAUGAUUAUGCUCCGGCGGCCUCUACGGAAGGCGAUGACGACGACGAUGAUGGUGGUUAUGAUUAUGCUCCAGCUGCAUAAGAGCUGUGUAACUAGCAAUUCAGUCGAAAUUGCUUAUAUUAAUUCUUGAUAUGAGAUCGAGUGGCAUUUCUAUCACAGGGUUAUUUGCAAACCCCUAAGUAUUUUCUGACGGCCUUUGUAGCUCGUCAGAUGUUAUAGGGUAUUAUGUAUCAAUUUCUGAUCAGUAAACCUCUGAAUUAUGGUCCUCUACUACUCUAAUUUCGUUUUUUGUUUGAAACUCGAAGAUGCUAAUUAAGUAUUAACAUGAGCAAAUGUGGUUUGUGACACUGUUUCCUUUCAAUGAUCGAAGUCUGUAAUAGUUUCAAGCACACAAUAAGUCUCAUUUCCCUAUCUGCAAGUUUGCUUAAUUAGUGAAAUAGAAAUACUUUACAUGGAUGAUUUGAUCAUCACUUACUAAAUGAAACUACUUGACUAUCAAUUCGAGGAACCUGGAGAAACCAAAUUUGUUCAUAUGCUGUUGUUAUUUUCCAUCUUUCUUGUAAUGGCUCAGCUCACCCCGCACUUGCUUUAUCAUGAUAUUCUCUUCCUUUACCUUUUCAAUUAUAAUUCUAAUGUAUUUCUCUAAGUGGUCACUUUACUUAUCAUCUGCUAUAAACUAAAUUCAAACUUUCUGGGAUUGCUGACGAAGAGCUUAGUAUUCGACGAGCUACUAA